rnacentral:lncRNA from 1 species
UACAUUUUUCUGAAAUUUCGAUUUAUUUCCAUUUCGGCGAAUUUCGAGCAAACUCAGUAUGUCCUAUUUUUAGGCAAGGUCAUGCCAAAAAUUUAUAUGCAUGCAUUUUUAUGACCCUUUUGUUGGGGAACGUCGCAUNNNNNNNNNNNNNNNNNNNNNNNNNNNNNNNNNNNNNNNNNNNNNNNNNNNNNNNNNNNNNNNNNNNNNNNNNNNNNNNNNNNNNNNNNNNNNNNNNNNNNNNNNNNNNNNNNNNNNNNNNNNNNNNNNNNNNNNNNNNNNNNNNNNNNNNNNNNNNNNNNNNNNNNNNNNNNNNNNNNNNNNNNNNNNNNNNNNNNNNNNNNNNNNNNNNNNNNNNNNNNNNNNNNNNNNNNNNNNNNNNNNNNNNNNNNNNNNNNNNNNNNNNNNNNNNNNNNNNNNNNNNNNNNNNNNNNNNNNNNNNNNNNNNNNNNNNNNNNNNNNNNNNNNNNNNNNNNAAGCAUUCCUCCGGUGUCCGUGAGUUAUAUGAUCUCAUGGUCAUAGGAAUAAAUACUUGACACGCAGAAAACAGCAGCAACAAAAUGACACGAUCAACAUGCUACGUCUAUUAGUUUGGGUCUAGUCCAUCACGUGAUUCUCCCAAUGACGUGAUCCAGUUAUCAAGUAACAACACCUUGUUCAUAAUCAGAAGACACUGACUAUCAUCGAUCAACUGGCUAGCCAACUAGAGGCAUGCUAGGGACGGUGUUUUGUCUAUGUAUCCACACAUGUAAAUGAGUCUUCAUUCAAUACAAUUAUAGCAUGGAUAAUAAACUAUUAUCUUGAUAUAGGAAUUAUAAUAAUAACUAUAUUUAUUAUUGCCUCUAGGGCAUAAUUCCAACACCUUUUGCUUGUUAUACCUUGCAGUCAUGAAGGUGAGUGGUAGGAAGGUGGAGCGAUACUUGUAAUCCGCGGUGAUGGACAUGUAUAAAAAUAAACGGACUGGGAUUAGAUGUCUGUGUACAAGAUGCAAAGAAGGAGUAAUUUUGGACCCUUUUGAUCGUGGCAGUUUGAAGGCUCACUUGUUGAUCAAUGGUUUCAUGGAUGGCUAUACUCUUUGGAUAAGUGAAGAUGAUGAUGAGGACGUCCACAUGACAGGGAAUAAUGACAUGGGUCUAGACGAAGAGAUGACUGAUCGAUACGAAGACGUUGGCGCCGGACAUGACGGCUGUGAAGAGUCCGAACACGGCGGCGGGGAAGAGUCUGGACAUGGCGUCGGAGAAGAUUCUAGACACGGCUAAGAAGCAGAGUCCGGACAUGGCGGAGAGGAGUCGAUGGACACGCCGCGGACUUUGAUGCUACUAAGUUCAGUCGUGCAGGACCCUCAUGUUCGAGACCUCCUUCGCAAGAGUACGAAUAGCGACACAGUUGCUUCAAGAGAGGAGGCCAAGCUGGCGCAACUUGAAGUACACUCGAAGACUCCAUUAUAUGACGAUUACGAUCCCGAGGUUACCCGCUUGAGUUUCACGCUCGAACUUCUAAAGACGAAGGCCAAAAACAAAUGGACAAACAAAAGCCUCGAUGAGCACUUGAAGUAUCUACAAAAUAAAGUUCUUCCGCAGGGAACCUGUGUCCUACUAGUGUCGAUGAGGCCAAAAAUAUCGUUUCACAUCUGGAUCUGCCGCCCAUUAGAUGCCACACAUGCACCAACGAUAGCAUCAUUUAUCGAGGUGAGCAUGCGGAAAAAACGAGGUGUCCAGUGUGCAAUGCUUCUCGAUACAAGAAGGCAGGAAAGAAAGCUCCUCAGUAGUUGUAUGGUACUUUCCGAUAACUCCCCGUCUACAACGGUAGUUUGAGGAGUUCAUGUAUUUACUAUGUGUUAAUGCUUUGUUCCAGUUCUCUAUUAAAAAGAGGCCUUAAUAUCCCUAAGUUUCCAAUAGGACCCUGCUACCACGGGAGGGUAGGACAAAAGAUGCCAUGCAAGUUCGUAUCGCAAGCACGUAUGACCAUACAUAGAAUACAUGCCAUCCAUCGUUGAUCCAUGUGCCUACACUUUACAUAUACUUAAUUUUGUUAAGUUACUAUUGCUUGUGUUGCUAUUACGCAUGUUACUCAAUUGCUACUGUUAUCACUGUUAUCAAAUUGCUGCUAUCACUGUUAUUGUUAUUCCUAUCUUUUGUUGUGCUACUAAAUCCUUGCUGUAGAGAGAUAUUCCAGGUGCGGUUGAAUUGACCAUUCAAUUGUUACGGUCAACAAAUAUUAUUUGGCUCCCCUUGUGACGAAUCAAUAAUCUGUCGCGAUCUCCUACACUUAUGGGUUGUCAGACUCUGUGAUAAAUACGAAAGUAAAGUGCACACAAAAGUUAGUCAAAUGUGAAGCUUUUGAGUGACUAAUAGGACCUGAUGCAUUAAUGUCAUCGAGGAUUUUGUUAAUCUGUACUUUAUUUUCCACUUUUGAAUGAGCAGAUUGACGAUUUUAUUGGGGCCAAGGAUUUUCUUCAGGUCCUAGAUCUUAGACCUUGCCUCCUCGAGAAAAUCAGUAGGAAGGGCCUGAUCUGCAGGUCCAUAAACCACGCAUAAAUCCCAAGUAGCUUGGGUGGCUACUGUUAGGAUAGAGGCACCGAGGAGAAAAAUGACCAAGACUUUAACUUGAGACAAAAGUACUGAUUUUUAUCAAUGCCCAAGAGCUCCUGCAGCCGGCACCCAUUGCCAAGCAAAAUUUUCUGCGGGCCUAUCGAUUUGAGCUCAAAGUAGGUGAAGUCGGCUUUGAUCGUUUCCUGAAGGGCAACACAAUUUAGGAACUCUUUGAUUUGCAGGAUUUAAAAAACGCAGGAAUAGAAAAAGUAAAAAAGUUGGAGUGACAUGUUCAUUUGAAUCCCAUAAGAUUAGCAAGGAGUGUAUGAAGACACAGAAAAAACAAAAAAUUGUAAAUGAUGGUUGGAGUGGAUGUUAGAUUUUUUAUGAAACACAAUACAAAAGAUUUCAUAAGAAAAUUUCCUAUGAGAUCCAAUCCAAUUAAUCAAAUGAUCAAUGUAGAAAAAAAUUCCAAGAAUUUUAAUGCUCCAAAAAUCCUAUAGAAUUCCUUUGACUCAAAGGAGCCCCUAUCCUUGGUGCCAUGGAUUUUGGUGGUGGUUGGCCAGAUACGGCUUUAGAAAGUUACAUGUGUAGGGCAAAUCCAACUUGAAGAUGUUUUUUUCUUUCUUCCACUGGAACUUGUUAGCACUAUAAAUGUACUUACGUAGCUUCCAUGCGUUUCUUUUCACUUCCACUCUUCUAUGAAUCUCAUCCUUGAUAGAUUCUCAAAUAAACACAAGUUAACAAGCUCCAACUAAGCAAUAAUCUAGUACUCCCUCCAUCUUUAAAUAUAUGUUUUUCUAAAGAUUCCUUAAAGAAAACAAAAUGAACGGAUCUAUACUCGAAAACCACGUUUGAAUUAUCGUAUUUCUACCGGAUAUACAUGUAGAAAAUACAUGCCUUCGUCUACCAGUAUUGUUUCCGCUGAAAAUCAUUAGUGUUCAGUACAGUACAUAUGUAAAUUUCACAUCUCCAUAUUACAAUACACCGCAACCAAGCACGGUCUAAAGUAUGUAUUCCUGUAAUGAAAUUUUUAGAAAUCUUAAAUUUAGAAACGGAGAGAGUAGAUUGCAGUCCUUCCCAUAGUAGGCAUUAUGUCUUUCUAGUUUACAAAGAUUUCUGAUCCAUCUUUUUACACACAGAACCCUGAGUAGCUACCGGUCGCCUCGCGUGAUGGUUACUUUGACCGUUUCAACUACGCCAGGAAGCACGUCGCCGUCAACGAUCACGCUGUCGGUCUCUUCAGACCACGGGAUCAGUAAUUAUGUGCUGUUAAAUGUUAAUUUUAACCAUUUUGUAGUGACUUAAUUACUCUGACAAGUCAAGGCCCGCCACAUCAAUCCUUGUCGCCCAAGAAACCCAAAUAAUUUUCUAAUGCCAGUCAACAUCCUUGGGAACUACUCUGCCAUUUCACAAAGUGUUACUACUACAAAUUCUUUUCGAAAUUUUGGCAUGUUCACGUAAUCGUAAACCCCUAAAUUUCCUGGAAGCUUCGCGCACUGACUAACAAUCUGCACCACAGAAGCUUGGUGAGCUCAGGAUAGUAUAUAAAUAGCCAUACUCUUACCGGCGAAAGACUCUGACUCAGCUGCCCCGCAACGAUGGCAAGUAGACACGUCGCCCUGUUCCCGCUGCCGUUCCAGGGCCACCUCAGCCCGAUGCUGCAGCUCGCCGACGUGCUCCACGGCCGAGGCCUCGCCAUCACCAUCCUCCACACCACCUUCAACGCCCCCGACACUGCCGCCCACCCGGAGUUCGCCUUCGUCGCCGUGGCCGACGGCGGCAUGCCGGACGCCAAGGACGGCCUCGGCAAGAUCCUCGCCAUGAACGACGCCAUGGAGGCGUCGGGGUGCGUCCGCGACGCGCUCGCGGCCCUGGAGCCCCGCCCGGCGUGCCUCGUCAGCGACUCCACCCUCCCCGCCGCGCAGAAGGCCGCGGCCGAGCUCGGCAUGCCGACCGUCCUGCUGCACACCGGCAGCGCGGCCGCCGUCCGCCUGUUCCGGUCCUACGCCAUGCUCCACGACAAGGGAUACCUGCCAGCGCAAGGUUAGUCUAGUCACGCUCACUGCUAAUUUUGUGUGCGUUGCGUUGUUCAUCGUAAUCAAAAUCAGUUGCUGAGAUCUCUGGAUGGAAUAAUACCCUGCUCAGAGCACGAGCUGGACAGGCCGGUGAGGGAGCUGCCGCCGAUACGGGUGUCGGACCUGUUCGACCCCAGCAAAUACCCCAACCGAGAAACCGCGAACAAGGUCCUGGACAUGACCACCGACAUCACAAACAACUCCUCCGGGAUCGUGAUCAACACGCUCGACGCGCUGGAGACCCCGGAGCUGGAGGCGAUCCGGGACGAGCUCGGCGCCAGCGGCGUCGGGGUGUUCGCCAUCGGCCCGCUCCACAAGCUCUCCACCAUCGGCGGCGCCAGCAGCAGCCUGCUGGAGGCGGACCGGAGCUGCAUCGAGUGGCUGGACGCGCAGGCCGCGGGCUCCGUGCUGUACGUGAGCUUCGGGAGCGUGGCCCCGGUGCGCCGGGAAGACUUGGACGAGGUCGCAUGGGGCCUCGCCAACAGCGGCAGGCCGUUCCUGUGGGUCGUCCGGCGGGGCCUCGUCGUCGGCUCCGGAUCCGAGGACACAGAGCUGCCGGAGGGGUUCGAGCGGGUGGCGGAGGGCAGGGGGAAGGUGGUGAGGUGGGCGCCGCAGCAGGAGGUGCUCGCCCACCGUGCGGUCGGCGGGUUCUGGACGCACAGUGGGUGGAACUCGACGCUGGAGGGCAUCUGCGAGGGGGUGCCGAUGCUGUGCAGGCCGUUCUUCGGAGACCAGCUGGCCAACGGGAGGUACGUGGAGGAGGUGUGGCGGACGGGAGCCUUGCUGGUGGGCAAGCUGGAACGGAGCAUGGUUGAGGAGGCGAUAGCGAGGUUCAUGGAAGGGGAAGAUGGUGCGGCCAUGAGGGAGAGAGCAAAGGAGCUUCAGAUGAAAGCAAUGGAGGCUUUGGGUAACGCCGGGUCAACUCAGCUGGCUGUAGACAAGUUGGUAGAUCACAUACUAUCACUGUGAGUCAAAGUAUAUGGUGUAGUCAGUCAUGACGUGUAUGGCUACCGGCAUGCAAACAAUAAUAUUGAGUUAGUACAUUGGUCAAGCAAGAACUUGGCAUAAAUGGUAAAUUUAAUGCUAGAAGUUGCGAUGUACAUUAAAAUAAUGAAAAAAUUUGAUUGUGACGUAUAAAUACAGUGCUUAGUAACUCAUAUAUAUACGGAUAUAUAAAUCCCGCCCUAAAAGGAAAAAAAACGCAGGCGUGUGCCUUAAACCAACGACCAACAUCUCAACAAGCAAGGCCACUCCACACAUCACGUCCGCAUAUUGAAAGUGCAUGGAUGAAUCCGGAUACAUAUGAGCCCACUUCAAAAAACAAAGUUCUAAAUGCUAAAAAAAUAUGAGAAAGUUUACACAGGUAUGUCUUAAUGUUUAUAUACGUGCAUAAAUUUCCCAGAAAAAAUAGUUUUUAUGACCUGUGUAAAAAAGACAAAAAAAAAGUGUCGUGAAAUGCUAGUUGGAAGCAUUGAAAUUUAUCUUUUUCACGAAGACAAAACAAAAAUACAUUUUUCAUAAAACUUGUAUGUGUGAAGUUUGCUUCUUUUUUUUACAUUUUGAAACAUGCUUAAAAUGCAUCUUUUCAUAAGUGGGUGCAGAGGCCUAUGGGUGCUCUUUUCAUAAGUGGGUGCAGAGGCCUAUGGAUGCAGGGUGCCCUCUUGUCCGCAUAUAUGCUACCCUCUCCGUUUUAAAAUAAACGACUCAAUUUUGUAUUAGCUUUACUACCUCUUAAUUUUAAAAUAAGUAACUUAACUUUGUACUUGCACGUCAAAGUCAAGUUUCUUAUCAUUUCGAUGUACACUACAACUUCUAGCAUAAAAGUGACCGUUUGCAUCAAGUUCUAACACACCAUCAAUAUAAUUUACUCUAUUUAUAAGUGAUAUCUGCAAAUGAUGCUAUUUUAUACAUAAAGGAACGUAGGGAGUAAUUCAUUACUGAUAUUUGAAAGGGGUCUGGUGAGUGUUGAUAGUUGGCCAGUCGAUGGCAAGACAUUGACCCCCUCUGCUCGCUUUAUCGACCUUCAAGACAGGGAGGUCUCGAUUGUUUUGCUGCAUUUGAUAUUCCCCUUGUAAGAUCUGUAUGUGUGCGGUGUCAAGGCCAAAUUCGCCGAUGAAAAUGGUCCAACCAACUCCGUCGUGGUUGGUAGAAGCUCGAGGACCCAAUUAGGUUUAUGUAAUCUUAUUGAAGGGCAUAUUUGCUUGUAUUAUGGAUCUGUUUGUAAUUUUGGAAAUUUAGAAGUCUUCCUCUUUUGUUAUGAUGUAAUGACUUUUAUUCAAACCAUAUAUAAGGGAACCCAAACCAAAAACCUUACAAGAUUAUAAGCACAUGCACCCGCCGCCUCCUUCUCCAAAAAUGCUAGGGUUCCUUUUUCUCCAACCAACGUCGUCGUCGACCGCCUCAUCUCCGGUGGCCCUAGGGCCAUGGGGGCACGAUGGAUCCUAGCCCUUGUCGGUGCGAGGGAUCGAAUUUUAGAUGCUUCUUUCGGGUUUUUUAUGAUUUGUGUUCCGUUUAGAAAGACGAGACGACGGUGGCUCCCUGAAGACGGAAUAAGGUUCUCCCCACCUAGGUCCCGUUCUGGUAGUGUCGAAGGGCGUGUGGAGGUGCGUCUCCAGAGGAUCUCGCGGGAUUUAUUCGUGAGUUGUCUUUGGUGGAUCUACUCAGAUCCGGUCUUUGUUCGUCUACGUUCGUGUAUCUUUAGGUUGGAUUCUUCCAUACGCGUCAUUUCGUCACGGUGGCGGUUGAUGUUCUGGUCCACUGGUCUUAUGGAUUCUUAGCACGACGACUUAUCGAUUGUGUAGUAGAAGAAUUUUUCUCCAGCUCAGACGAGGGAUGGGCGAUGAUGACGGUGCGUCUUCGACUCAUUUUCAGUAUUUAUAGUCGUUGCAAGAUGGUCUACAAAUUUGGCUGUAACUUCUAUUAUUUAUAAUAUUCACUGUGCUACUAUGAUUGAAAAUGAAUAGAUCAAAACUUAUGCACGAGAGGUUUGAUUUUUUGAAAAGGAGGCAUCGCCCCGGCCUCUGCAUCGAGUGAUGCAUGCGGCCUUUUAAUUGCAUAUUGUAAAAAUAGUCUGAUCCGAGUACAGCAAUCUAAGAAAAACAAAGAAUAAAGAUACAAAGCGCCAUAUGCGCCACAACCAACAAUGGUAAUAGAACUAGAUGACUAGCCACAUAUCAUAUUAUUGAGUCGUCAUCCAAACCGGUUGAAGAUAUCCUGAGCUACCAUCUUUCAGCGGGCACACCCAGUAACCAUAGGCUUCCUGGCUUCCGCAUGAGUGAGUAAUAACCACAUGCGGAUCAAGGUGAUAGCCCUGAAGAUAACCUGCAAAAAUUUAAUAGAUUUGCAUAUGUUAAAAAUUAAAUCAUUCCUGCAGUUCUGUGACAGCCCGAUGCCGACGUUCCAGAAGAUUCCCCCUUCUUUCCGUUUUCGUCGUGUGUCUAUCUUUAUUUGUCGCAUCAUCAUCGCAUCAUGCGCAUCAUCAGCAUUGCAUCGGCGUCUCCGUUGUUGCCAGUUUUCUAAACUGGCAUUCGUUGUUAGUUGCCGGUUAUCGUCGUUGUUCGUUUCGAGCCUGACCACACUCGCACGCGCCCGCGACACCGUCGUAACCCUGUUUUUAAAGCGUGUAUAAUACUUUCUCCGAUUGAGUUGGAAUUUGUCGUGCGGUAUUAUUUAUAUAUAGCUAGGCCGCCUGUCGGGUUUCGUCGCGAUCGGAGACCGUCUGGUACUCGAACGGUCGACCGUAGCGGCACCGUAUUCGGUCUACCGUCGGACGUUAGUCGGUGUUUUUAAAAAUUCGUGCCGCACCGCCCGUUCUCCCUCUCGACUCCCGGUAUCCCCUCUACACGGCCGCAUACCCAUACCCGCGUUCGGAAUCGUCCGAAUCCGACCCCGCGGUUGGAUCCGGAAUGCGAUUUCGGUUAAUCGAGCCCCCCGUUUGUCUAUAUAUAGCCCCCAUGCCAUUAAUUAGAGAGACACACCCCCUCUGCCUUGAAAUCCGUGCCACCUACCCGAAACCCUAGCCUCCCACCUGCUCUCUCUCUCCUCCCCCGCGCCGUCGGCCCGCCAGGCCUAGAUCGGGCCCGGCCGAGCCCAUCGCGCCGCCGCCGUCGUGGCUCGAGCUCCCUGCUCCCGGGCCUCCCUCCCAUGGCCGCCCUGCCUGCCCGAGCACCUCCCUCUGGUCGCCGCGCCGCCGCCGGCCAUCUUGGCCGUCAGGCCCCCUCCUGCGUCGCCCCGCUGCAUCUCGCCGCGCCGGCCAAAGGUCGCCGGAGUUGCUGCCUGUUCCCAUCGCAGAACUCCGCGCAGCAGUCCAGAUCGAAAGGGGCUUCGGCUCCCGUUGCCCAGAUCGCUGCUCCUGGGCCGAGAGCUCGAUUCCCAGCGCCGGAUCCCGUCAAGGUCAUCGCGGAGCCAUGCCUCGCCGGGCUCCCCGCCGCCGUCGCCCUGGUUCCCGCUCGGGAGGAGCCCGACGGGAACCACCCCACUUCCUCGCAGCACGUGGGCCAGCUGACCGCCUCGCCCCGCCUGGGCCGGCCUUCGCAGCGGCCCAGCAGGCGUGCCCCAGCAGCCGCCGUAGCCUCCCCCGCAUGGGCCGGCCCAUCCGCCUCCGAGCAGGCCUGCCUCCUCCCCCAGAUCUGGGCCAAGCCCAUGGGUGAGCAGCUCCUCCCUCAUGCUAUCUAGUGCCUGUGCACCAUGUUGUUGUUUUGCGCCCCUGUUCGGCCCAAAAGUUUAUUAGGUAUUUUCGGAAUUGUAAUUAAAUUCCAGAAAAUAUUACGAUAUUACAACGCCCGUAUCUUUUAUUCCGUAAGUCGGAACGAGGAGUAUUAUAUAUGGUUUUGGGUAUCUUCGCGAGUAGAACACGAUUUCACCACUUGCAUAUUUGUUUGAAGUUGUUUAGCGUGCCUAACGCCUAGUUUAGCGUGUUGUCCUUUUAUGCUCGUGUCCCGUAAUAUUUUCCGCGCGUGUUCGUAUAGCCCGAAUGCCGUAUUAGAAAUGCCUACGUUUUAGGAACUAUUUUUCCGUGUAUUUUAGAGCAGUCAUUUGUAUUUUUGCGUGUAGGGAUUUGCCGGUAGUUUAUUUUCCCGUAUAUAGGUGAUUAUCUCGCAUUAAUGUGUGGCAUUAUUUUGUGUUGCAAACCCCAUAUAUUUUAUAUGUUUCCGGGAUAGAAAAAUCCCAUGGAUUUUUCUGUGCAAUUAGUUUUAGCAUUAGAGCAAGUUAGUCCGCGAGAUAUUUUGCUAAGUUACCCUUUUGUUUAAUUCGUAGGAUUUAUUCCGUGCCUCGUUUGAAUUAGUUGUCAACUAGAGAGUUGAUUUUGGAUGUUUUGUUUAGCCCCUGGUAUUUUUAGUUGCAAUAGAAAUGCAUGUUUAGGUGUGUUCUGCUUGCCCUCAAGUUGCUAGAAAUAGUGAUGUUUUAGACGUGCUGAAAUAUUUCUAAGUCUGAAAUCUGUUAUAUUUUGUUGUUGUCUUGUCUUGCUUGCAUCUUGUGAUCUGUAACUCUUUUGAGGUUGGUCCAAUGAAGUUAGUUGUACCCCUUGUGUUUCUCUAGCAUGUUAUGAAUUUUCAUGUCAUUUGGAGUCCUGUAGCUAUAGGUUUUGCUGCUGUCAAUAUUGCUUCAGAUCGAAAACUGCACUUUCAUGAGGUGUAAUUUUCACUAAGUCUGAAAUAGUGUGUGGGAUGCCAUUUUGCGACUUCUUUCUCUAGUGAUCCUUGCUGCCAUGUUAGUUGUUGUUAGUAGUUUGUAGUAGUGCUUCUUGCCCUCUUCCGUGCCAUGCCUUUCUUGAGCAUAUCGGAGUUGUGUAGCCAUAGUUGUGAGGCGUAGAAAAUGCUAUGUGGCUGAUUUUGGUAGAUUGUAGUCAUUUCUUGUUUUGCUCGUAGUUUUUGAACCGUAGCUCCGAUUUGAUCGAGUCCUACAUGAAACUUGCUUAGAAUCUCGUGUAGUUUCAUUUUCUUUUUCUGGUUGCAUGUGUUGAAGUGCUCGUGACCGUCGUUAUACACAUAUUGCAUUCAUGCCACCAUAUCUUGCAAUGCUUGUAUCUUUUGAUCCUNNNNNNNNNNNNNNNNNNNNNNNNNNNNNNNNNNNNNNNNNNNNNNNNNNNNNNNNNNNNNNNNNNNNNNNNNNNNNNNNNNNNNNNNNNNNNNNNNNNNGGAAGCCCAUAGGCCUUGGGGGUGGCACACCAGCCCUUAGUGGACUGGUGGGACAACCCAAGAAGGCCCUAUGCGCCAUAGGAAGAAAAUGAAAGAGAAAGGAAAAAAAGGGAGGAGGUGGGAAAGGAAAGAAGGACUCCACCCACCAAACCAAGUAGGACUCGGUUUGGGAGGGGGAGACCUUCCCCCCUUGGCUCGGCCGACCCCCUUGGGGCUCCUUGAGCCCCAAGGCAAGGCUCCCCCUCUCCCACCUAUAUAUACGGAGGUUUUAGGGCUGAUUUGAGACGACUUUUCCACGGCAGCCCGACCACAUACCUCCACGGUUUUUCCUCUAGAUCGCNNNNNNNNNNNNNNNNNNNNNNNNNNNNNNNNNNNNNNNNNNNNNNNNNNNNNNNNNNNNNNNNNNNNNNNNNNNNNNNNNNNNNNNNNNNNNNNNNNNNNNNNNNNNNNNNNNNNNNNNNNNNNNNNNNNNNNNNNNNNNNNNNNNNNNNNNNNNNNNNNNNNNNNNNNNNNNNNNNNNNNNNNNNNNNNNNNNNNNNNNNNNNNNNNNNNNNNNNNNNNNNNNNNNNNNNNNNNNNNNNNNNNNNNNNNNNNNNNNNNNNNNNNNNNNNNNNNNNNNNNNNNNNNNNNNNNNNNNNNNNNNNNNNNNNNNNAUCACCAACCUCCGGAGCACCGUCACGCUGCCGGAGAACUAUUCUACCUCUCCGUCUCUCUUGCUGGAUCAAGAAGGCCGAGAUCAUCGUCGAGUUGUACGUGUGCUGAACGCGGGAGGUGCCGUCCGUUCGGCACUAGAUCGUGGGACUGAUCACGGGACGGUUCGCGGGGCGGAUCGAGGGACGUGAGGACGUUCCACUACAUCAACCGCGUUCACUAACGCUUCUGUUGUACGGUCUACAAGGGUNNNNNNNNNNNNNNNNNNNNNNNNNNNNNNNNNNNNNNNNNNNNNNNNNNNNNNNNNNNNNNNNNNNNNNNNNNNNNNNNNNNNNNNNNNNNNNNNNNNNUAGAACUGUGUAGUGUGCUUGAGAGAAAGAAUGCCCGUCCAUACAUACUUUUGCUUUCCUUCCUAGUGUGCCUUUUCCUGUCAGCCUACCCUCAUACCGAGAUUCAGGAACACCAAUCGGCUUAAGGUCAGGAAGAAAGUCCACACAAAACUCAAUGACCUCCUCUGUUCCAUAGCCCUUGGAGAUGCUUCCUUCGGGCCUAGCACGGUUACGAACAUAUUUCUUUAAGACUCCCAUGAACCUCUCGAAGGGGAACAUAUAUUGUAGAAACAACGGACCGAGAAUUCUAAUCUCUUCGACUAGGUGAACUAGGAGGUGUGUCAUUAUAUUGAAGAAGGAUGGCGGGAACAACAACUCAAAGCUGACCAGACAUUGGACCAAACAUAUAGCCACCACCAUGCUUGUUCGCAUCGGCUGCAUCUCGAAAAGAAUGCACGCCUUCUCUGUAAGCGGUUGUGCAUCGAUCACCGUACAUCCAUGGAUGACUCAUCUGUGUUAUACGACAGUAUAUCAAAUACAAUCACGAUCCUAAAAAUUACUACCGCACCGUCUAAACGAGGAAAUAUAGUUGCUAUCCUUUUAGAAUAAGUAGAAAUAAAGAGGAAGAGGUUUAAGCAUGGCUCAGGCAUCUCAUAUCGUAGUUGUGUUCGGUGAACUGAAGCGGCAUCGCUCUAACACACAUUUCAACAAACACCUCUAGUGCAUAAAAAAAAGUGGAGAGCAAGCACCCAGCCACAAUCCUCCAUCCAAGAAAAAUGCAAGGAAGAGGGGAGAGGGGGGCUGUGCUAUAUAUAGGCAGAGGACUUUAGUCCCGGUUUGAGACACAAACCGGGACUAAAGGUGGCGCACAUGCGGGCUACCCACCGCGUAGCCCUUUAGUCCCGGUUUGGGACACGAACCGGGACUAAAGGCUCCUUACGGGCCGGGACUAAAGCCUCGAGGGAGGCAUUGAGAAUUGGGGCGACGUGGCCGGGCCUUUAGUCCCGGCCCAGAGGCAGGCCGGGACUAAAGGGUCCAGGCCAAAGGCCCGUUUUCCACUAGUGAAUAAUUAACGUGGAGUUUCGUCAAUGUGCAACUCGUUGCAUAUUGAACUCUACUUAAUGUGUAGUGUUUGUUUGUCGUGAAUUGUCAUGCCGUGACUUGCAUGUUUUUAGCUGCUCAUGCAUCAUUUGUGUUGUGCAUCGUGUGGUGAAUUCCGUGUGUUGAUUUGUGUUUCCGGUUUGCUUCGUCUCGAUAGAGUUCCGGAGCGUGCCGGAUUGUCACGGAGUCAUUCUUCUUCCAAGCGGGAUCUCAGGCAAGAUGACCAUUUCCCCAGAUACCAUUACUAUCAUUACCAUGCUAGUUUUAUCGCUUCUAUCGAUUAUGUCUCGUUGCCUACCACCUGUUAAAUAUCAGCCUCUCAACAAUGCCAUGUUAACCUUCACCUGUUCGACCUAGCAAACCACUGAUUGGCUAUGUUACCGCUUGCUUAACCUUGUGUUAGCGUUGCUAGUUGCAGGUGCAGAUGCUUCCAUGCGAAAGCAUGGGUUCCUUGUCAUAUCACCAUAUUUAAAUGCUAUUUAACUUAAUGCACCUAUACACUUGGUAAAAGGUGGAAGGCUCGGCCUUUCUAGCCUGGUGUUUUGUUNNNNNNNNNNCCCCUUAGUUUCCGACUACCGGUGUUAUGUUCCAUAAAUGAGCGCUCCUAACACGAUCGGGGUUGUUAUGGGGACUCCCUUGAUAAUUCGUUUAGAUUAAGAAUGGUCUGGCAAGGCCCAACUUUGGUAGUACAUUUGCCUAAUAACCUAAUAAUAAUGCAUAGGGACCCGCCGGCACCCGCAGACUAUUUUAAUCAACCCCCGGGCCAGUGCUCCUCAUGAGUGUUGGUCCCACCUGAGCGAUGUCUGGCGCCCCUCUGGUCACCCGGAGGUUUAGAGAUCCCAACGUCUAGCUCAUCCGUCGUGUCCUGAGAACGAGGUACGCGACUCCUAUCGGGAUCAUCGACACGUCGGGCGGCCUUGCUGGAUUAGUUUUACCUUUGACGAGAUAUCACGUGCAUCGGGAUUCCGGUGAUGCUUUGGGUAAUCUCAGAGUUGAGGUUUUCCACUAGGGAAUCCGACGAGAUCGCGAGCUUCGUGAUUGAGGAUUUCUAUGCGGCUUGUGGUAAUUUGUGAUGGACUAGUUGGAGCACCCCUGCAGGGUUAAAUCUUUNNNNNNNNNNGCCGACACGUCAGGUGGCCUUGCUGGAGUAGUUUUAUCUUUGACGAAAUAUCUUGUGCAUCGGGAUUCCGGUGAUGUUUUGGGUGAUCUCAGAGUUGAGUUUUUCCACUAAGGAAUCCGACGAGAUCGCGAGCUUCGUGAUUGAGGAUUUCUAUGCGGCNNNNNNNNNNNNNNNNNNNNNNNNNNNNNNNNNNNNNNNNNNNNNNNNNNNNNNNNNNNNNNNNNNNNNNNNNNNNNNNNNNNNNNNNNNNNNNNNNNNNAGAGAUGAAUUCUCAUUCGAAACCCUGAUACUUCGAGAGAGAUUGUCCGUUUUGUACACGAAGNNNNNNNNNNUCCUUUGAAUGGUGCAUUUUGAACACACUAAAAGUAUGGAGUUCAAAUAAGUUCACAAAAAUGAAAUCCCUUUUGUAAGAGAUGAGUUCUCGUUCGAAACCCUGAUACUUCGAGAGAGANNNNNNNNNNCGAGAUGAGUUCUCGUUGGAAACCCUGAUACUUCGGGAGAGAUUGCCCGUUUUGUACACGAAGUGCAUCCAGUUUUUGUCGUAGCCCUCUCAACUUUUUAACACAUGCUAUGUGGGUGAAAUGAUGAUAGCAUGCCAACUUUCAACAUUUUCAGAGUUCAUUUGUAGUGCUUUUCAAUUUCAGGGUCAACUAGCUCAAAAAAAUAAGUAAAUCCAUGAAAUAUACCAAAUGAAGUUAGAAAUUGUUGAAAUUUUGUACUGUGCCUUUGAAUGGUGCAUUUUGAACACACAAAAAGUAUGGAGUUCAAAUAAGUUAACAAAAAUGAAAUCCCUUUGUAAGAGAUGAGUUCUCGUUCGAAACCCUGAUACUUCGAGAGAGAUUGUCCGUUUUGUACACGAAUUGCAAAAAAUAAAUACAUAAAGUUCUCUCAUAAAACAACAUACAACUAUGUAAAACAUUUAAAUGCAACAACAAACGCGAUCAAAAUCGCAACUAAGGUAACAAUUGACCCAACAACAUAAUAAUACCAAGCCUCUUUAUCAAUGGCAUAUUUUCUAAUAUUCCUAAUCUUCAAGNNNNNNNNNNNNNNNNNNNNNNNNNNNNNNNNNNNNNNNNNNNNNNNNNNNNNNNNNNNNNNNNNNNNNNNNNNNNNNNNNNNNNNNNNNNNNNNNNNNNGGGAAACAAAAAUUUUCCUACGCGCACGAAGACCUAUCAUGGUGAUGUCCAUCUACGAGAGNNNNNNNNNNUUUUUGUUUCCCUUGCGACGUUCCCCAACAGUAUGUGGAUACCGACAAUCGAAUCUUGGGCAAGAAACAUACUGAAGGACAAAGGGAAUGACAUACGGGAUUAUAUGAAUCCUUGGCACUGAGGUUCAAUCGAUAAGAUCUUCGGAGAAUAUGUAGGAUCCAAUAUGGGCAUCUAGGUCCCGCUAUUGGAUAUUGACCGAGGAGUGUCUCGGGUCAUGUCUACAUAGUUCUCGAACCCGCAUGGUCUGCACACUUAAGGUUCGAUAAUGUUUUAGUAUGGUUGAGUUAUAUGUGUGGUUACCGAAUGUUGUUCGGAGUCCCGGAUGAGAUCACGGACGUCACGAGGGUUUGCGGAAUAGUCCGGAAACGAAGAUUGAUAUAUAGGAUGGUUUCAUUUGGUCACCAGAAAGUUUCGGUCAUUACCGGCUGUGUACCGGGAGCGACGAAUGGGUUCCGGGUGUUUACCGAGAGGAGCCCACCCACCCGGGAGUGAGCCCAAGGCCCUAGGGUGGUGCACCAAGUCUUUAGUGGGCUGGUGGAGUCGGUCCAUGAAGGCUAUGGCGCCACAAGCAAAAAUACCAAAGGAAAGAAGAAAAAAGAGAGGGAGGUGGGAAGGAAGGAGUGGACUCCUUCCCCACCAAACCGAAUUGGGGUUGGAGUCCAACUCCUCCCCCUUGGCCGGCGCACCCUUGAGGGCCUUGAUCCUCAAGGCUUGCCCCUCCCCUCCUCCUAUAUAUAUUGGUGGUUUAGGGCUGUUUUGAGACACAACUUUGCCACGUGCAAUUCUAGCAUAUUCCAUAUAGUUUUACCUCUAGAUCGGAUUUAUGCGGAGCUCGGGCAGAGCCCUGCAGGAGUAGACCAUCACCAUCCCCGGAGCGCCGUCACGCUGCCGGAGAACACGUCUACUUCUCCGUCUUGCUUGCUGGAUCAAGAAGGCCGAGAUCAUCGUCGAGUUAUACGUGUGCUGAACGCGGAGGUGUCGUUCGUUCGGCACUAGAUCGGAACGGAUCGUGGGACGGAUCGCGAGACGGUUGUGGGAUGGAUCGUGGGACGGUUCGAGGGACGGAUUGUGAAGACGUUCCACUACAUCAACCGCGUUUCUUAAACGCUUCCUGCUGGGCGAUCUACAAGGGUACGUAGAUCUAAUCUCCUCUCGUAGAUGGACAUCACCAUGAUAGGUCUUCGUGUGCGUAAGAAAAUUUUUGUUUCCCAUGCAACGUUCCCCGACAGCCCCAUGGUGAGGAUGAAGGCGGCGACCGGCGGCGGUGGCGCAUAGGGCCCCGCGACGAGAGAGCAGAUGCCCGCAACCGCCUGCCCUAGCUCCAGCAGCGCGGCCAUCAUCUCCGCCGGGGUGAAGACGAUGGCGGCGGAGACCGGCGGUGGCUAGGCGGGCACGGGGGACGGCCUGGUAAGGGCCGGCACGGCUCCCGUGGUGGCCAGCGGUGUGGUGGUGGUCGACAGCGGAAGGUUGGGGGUGGGCGGAGGUGACGACAUGAUCGAACCCGAGCUACCUGAUACCAGAGUUGGCUUUUUGCCCUCAGGAUCGAUCACACGAUCACCCUGCAGCUCGACUAGUCGUGUACGCGCAACUCCGCUCAACGUAUACGAACUAGCUGUAGCACUCGAUAUCUCGCCGGCGCUUACGCAAACACCGGACCAGAACACACGCACGCAAACACAACAACACGAAGAUGGUCAGAGGCACGUGACAUGGCUCAUAAUUAUCUCUUUAUUACUUUUCUCGUUUUUUGAUACUUACAAACUCACGUAGCCUCAUGUAUAUAUAGACACAUGAAGCCAUGACCCAAUAACUUGCAACCGACUCAGACUAGUACCACUCAAAGCUGAUUCGAAUACAAUACUAAACCUGCGUGUACACAAGUCCUAUCAUAUCACGGACACGGCCAAACAAAGCAAAGCUACACACCUAUAGAACUAGGAAACCGACUCAAACUUACCUAAACUAAGCUCACCGCAACGCUGAUCACGAACACUAACCAAACUAACACAUACGUGUUUGGAUUACUCUAACAACCAAGUUGAUAGGAACCGAAUCACUACGAGGGCGAGGCCUCAGAUUAUAUGGAUGAAAGAGAGGUUGGCGGGGCGAGGCGCGCGGCCGGCAGUGACGAGGCGCCGUGAUCGCGCGAGAGAGAGAGAGACUCGAGGCAGCUAGGGUUUAGGGCGACGGCUCCCGUUGGGAGGCGGGCAAAUAUGAUUGCUUCUGCUUGAUUAAAACUGAGUCCUUACACGAGUAUAUACUAGCAAAACAGCCCGUGCGUUGCAACGGAAGAGAACACACACUCCUAACGCAAUAUAUUUUCACAUGGCAUCACAUUUGUGUUGCCGACAAUGACUUUAGUGCUCACACAACGAAAACGCGUUUGAAUGUACAGUCACUCAAAAUAAGAUGAAAAAUAUAUUGUUUCUCCCUACGAGGUUUUUCAAAGGUGAGCAUGUGUGGUUAACGAUGUUUUCUUUGUCUCAAUUUGGUUUUAAUUUAAUGGAUGUUUAUUGCAAUUCGUAUCAUCGCCGGAAAGAGAGAAAAAAAAGGACCACUCUAGAUUAAGUUUGCACCAAAAAUAAUAUUUAAGAAGUAUUCAACAGCUAAAAAUAACAUCCUAUUUAGAUUCUACAUAUUUUUUUUAAUCAAAUUUCAUAUAUAAGAUGUUAAAAUCGGAGUUACGGUUUAAAAGAUAUGGAUAAUUUUGUUCUAGAUAAAAUUUGAAUUGAUUAACUGAAAAGUUAGGGUUUUUUUUGCUGAAAUACGGAGGGCGGGUUGAUUACCUUAAACAUCAGGGGGUUUUCUGAACAAUGCAAAAAACGAUUCAUUUUCUGACUUAAAUCCAAAAUGCGGAUUGAUUUCAGGAAACGUCGGGGACUGUUUUAUAAAAAUGGCACGACGAAACGUUUUCCUCACUUAAGAAAGGACUGCAGGUUGAUUAACUGAAAAUGAAGGGACUUUUUUGCAAAAAAGUCACGACGAACGAGUAGAAACCGUAUUUGCUUUAUUAUUAGGGAGAGAUAAUCUCUCUAUGUUAAUAAAUAUGGUAAAUUGGGCUAAACCCCUAAUAACGAUAAGAUAGUUGGGCCAGGCCUUUUAACUGCCUGCGUUAGUGGCUCCCCUCCUGAUCAUAACAACAAGUCCAGUAAAAAAAACAUAUUUCCAAAAACAGCCAAGCAAAACCUGUACUGGAGUGUAUCAACGUGCAGGUGAUGAACAUGGGAGGUUGCAAAUUUUUGAACUGAAACUGUAAAGGAAAGUGCAUUUUUCUGAUUGGUUCAGCUUUGAUGAGAAAGGGGAGGUAACAGUGAGAAUUGUGAGUAUGAAAACAAACAAGAUAACACCUACAAGGAGAAGAUCAAUAACAAGAGGCACAGUGCUAUAGGUAAGGUUUAACCCUCAGGAUCACCAAUUCUUGCAAGGUCACAAUGGAUUGGCUAAAUCACAUCAACUAUCCUAAGAAGUACAUCAAGUAGUACAUUGGUGCACUUUGAGAAGGCAGUGCAGGCAGCCACUAAAACACUACUGCUGGAGAUGUGACUGAAGGAUGAUACCUGUCCAAAUGAAGGCAAAGGGUGGUCUUCAAGAAUAACAUUAACAUUACAUGCAUGCGCCGAAUUUUACCGUCAGAGCCCAGCUAGUAAUUUAUCCAUGGGUGCUGAUUUCCUAUCUAAGUCUAUGCAACGAAAUAAAUUUAACUGCCUAAAACACCAAUUUUUUCCAAGGAAAUACAACUUCUUGCAAUUGCAAGGAGAUAUUGUCACGCCCAAGAUGCGACCCUAUCCUCAAUUUGGCACGAAGGCCUCGUCAGGGAUAGACGCGCAUCUCGUCGUGUCGCAAUAAUGAAUAUUGUUACAAGUACAUGUACUGAAAAAAAAAGAUAUAUAUAUACAGAGUUGGCUUACACUCGCCACAAGCUACAUCANNNNNNNNNNGUCAGUACAUUAUAUAAACAUCAAGAGUAAGAGUAGGGUCCGACUACGGACGAAAACAAACGACAAAAGAAGAACGACGUCCAUCCUUGCUAUCCCAGGCUGCCGGCCUGGAACCCAUCAUAAAUCGAUGAAGAAGAAGAAGAAGAAGCAACUCCAAAUGUACAAUCAACGCGCUCGCGUCCAGUAACCUUUACCUGUACCUGCAACUGGUGUUGUAGUAAUCUGUGAGCCACAGGGGACUCAGCAAUCUCAUUUCCAAAGGUAUCAAGACUAGCAAAGCUUAAUUGGGUGAGGUAAGGUUAAGUGGUGAGGUUACAGCAGCGGCUAAGCAUGUAUUUGGUGGCUAACUUACGAGUACCAGAAAUAAGAGGGGGAAGAUCUACGCAUAGCGGACGUGAACUACAAACGAUCAAAUGAAUGAUCCUAAACACCUACCUACGUCAGACAUAACCCCAUCGGUCCUCGAUCGGAGAAAGAACUCACGAAAGAGACAGUCACGGUUACGCACACAGUUGGCAUGUUUUAAUUAAGUUAACUUCAAGUUAUCUAGAACCAGUGUUAAACAAAGCUUCCACGUUGCCACAUAACCGCGGGCACGGCUUUCCGAAAGAUUUAACCCUGCAGGGGUGCUCCAACUAGUCCAUCACAAAUUACNNNNNNNNNNNNNNNNNNNNNNNNNNNNNNNNNNNNNNNNNNNNNNNNNNNNNNNNNNNNNNNNNNNNNNNNNNNNNNNNNNNNNNNNNNNNNNNNNNNNUGAUGACCUUGUCUCAGAAGGGCUCCGCCCGAGCUCCGCAGAAACGCGAUCUAGAGGAAAAACCGUGGAGGUAUGUGGUCGGGCUGCUGUGGAAAAGUCGUCUCAAAUCAGCCCUAAAACCUCCGUAUAUAUAGGUGGGAGGGAGGGGACCUUGCCUUGGGGGGGGGGGUCAGCCGAGUCCAAGGGGGAAGGCUCCCCCCCAAACCGAGUUGGACUUGGUUUGGUGGGUGGGAGUCCUUCCUUCUCUUCCCACCUCCUCCUUUUUUUUUCUUUUCUCUUUGAUUUUCUUUCCUAGGCGCAUAGGGCCCUUUUGGGCUGUCCCACCAGCCCACUAAGGGCUGGUGUGCCACCCUCAAGGCCUAUGGGCUUCCCCGGGGUGGGUUGCCCCCCCCCCCCCNNNNNNNNNNNNNNNNNNNNNNNNNNNNNNNNNNNNNNNNNNNNNNNNNNNNNNNNNNNNNNNNNNNNNNNNNNNNNNNNNNNNNNNNNNNNNNNNNNNNNNNNNNNNNNNNNNNNNNNNNNNNNNNNNNNNNNUUCCCGGUAAUUCCGAAAACCUUCCUGUAAUCAAAUGAGGUCAUCCUAUAUAUCAAUCUUCGUUUCCGGAGCAUUUCGGAAACCCUCGUGACGUCCGUGAUCUCAUCCGGGACUCCGAACAACAUUCGGUAACCAACCAUAUAACUCAAAUACGCAUAAAACAACGUCGAACCUUAAGUGUGCAGACCCUGCGGGUUCGAGAACUAUGUAGACAUGACCCGAGAGACUCCUCGGUCAAUAUCCAAUAGUGGGACCUGGAUGCUCAUAUUGGAUCCUACAUAUUCUACGAAGAUCUUAUCGUUUGAACCUCAGUGCCAAGGAUUCAUAUAAUCCCGUAUGUCAUUCCCUUUGUCCUUCGGUAUGUUACUUGCCCGAGAUUCGAUCGUCAGUAUCCGCAUACCUAUUUCAAUCUCGUUUACCGGCAAGUCUCUUUACUCGUUCCGUAAUACAAGAUCCCGCAACUUACACUAAGUUACAUUGCUUGCAAGGCUUGUGUGUGAUGUUGUAUUACCGAGUGGGCCCCGAGAUACCUCUCCGUCACACGGAGUGAUAAAUCCCAGUCUUGAUCCAUACUAACUCAACUAACACAUUCGGAGAUACCUGUAGAGCAUCUUUAUAGUCACCCAGUUACGUUGCGNNNNNNNNNNACCACACGGAGUGACAAAUCCCAGUCUUGAUCCAUACUAACUCAACGAACACCUUCGGAGAUACCUGUAGAGCAUCUUUAUAGUCACCCAGUUACNNNNNNNNNNUCACACGGAGUGACAAAUCCUUGUCUUGAUCCAUACUAACUCAACUAACACCUUCGGAGAUACCUGUAGAGCAUCUUUAUAGUCACCCAGUUACGUUGCGACGUUUGAUACACACAAAGCAUUCCUCCGGUGUCAGUGAGUUAUAUGAUCUCAUGGUCAUAGGAAUAAAUACUUGACACGCAGAAAACAGUAGCAACAAAAUGACACGAUCAACAUGCUACGUCUAUUAGUUUGGGNNNNNNNNNNNNNNNNNNNNNNNNNNNNNNNNNNNNNNNNNNNNNNNNNNNNNNNNNNNNNNNNNNNNNNNNNNNNNNNNNNNNNNNNNNNNNNNNNNNNGAGAAGAAAAAUGAAAAUAAGUGUUAAUAGUUUAAUUUUGCUAUUGUAUAUGCUUAAGUGUUAAUAGUUUAUUUUUAGCAAGAAAAUUAAUAGAACUAGUUUAUUUUUUUAGUUCAUUUUACGAUGCCUAUCCCGCAUCCUCGUCUUCGACUCGGCGGAGGACACCUGCUUGAUCAGAGGGGCCCUGUCCGGGACUGGGCUCCGCCCGGCUGGUAUUGGGAGGUGCUACCUUCCGGGGGGCGUAGGUUGGUGAGGAGCCAGCCCGUCGUUGACCAGAUCCUUGUUUGGUGGCGGUCGCGUGGGCCAGUGAGGGUGCCGAGGCUUCCGGACACCACGGAGGUGGUACGUCACCGUGUCAGCGAGGAGGAUGAGCACGUCCGUCGCUACAUGGUUGCGUUGGAGGGUAGGUUCCAGCAUACCUGGCAGGUUUUUCGGGGAUCUCACUGGAGCUAUGAUCCAGUGAUGGUUCCUUCUCUUUGGGUGUCCACCGCCCGCGCCGAUACCCGUCGGGCGCUACGGUUCUAGAUGUAUUAGUGAUGCUAUAUGUAUGAUAGUAUUCGAGGAGUAUUAAUGAUAAUAUUCGACGAUGUACGGACAAAAGUGAUGAUGUAUUAGCUUAUAAUUGAAUGCAUGCUAAUUUGAAUACUACUUUAUUUUACAAUUUGGUUUUGCUUAUUGAAUGCUCAAAUUGGAAAAUUACUCCUACUUUGAAUACUAUGCAGAAAUCUAGGAGUCUCAAAUUGGAAAAGUACUCCUACUUUGGUUUUUGAUACAAAGGUUAAGAGAAUCCGUUUUUUGCAGAACUAUGGAUCCACAUAUCAGGAACCUCGAAGAGGAAGAACUUCUGGAAGAUAUAAUCAAAGACGGCCCCGACGUUGAACCAGCUGAAUCUCCGUCGUUAUAUCUAAACCAGGACAUUGGAAUGGAGGUCGAGCGACACGAAGAUGAAGCCGAUGGGGCAGGAGAUAGGUCCAAUGACGGAGAAGGUGAUAGCUCCAUUGAUGGAGAAGCCGGUGAAGAGGAGAAGUCCGGCGAGGUAUACAUAUGAAGUUCGACAAUCACUCGUAAUAUGUGAAAAAUAUUGGAGAUAGCUCUAUAUUGUAUACAUAUACAUUCAUUUGACGAAUGUUUCUCCCUCUUAGGCCUCCACAUCGAGCAAAACUACGAAACGAGGCCCGACUAGAAAGUUGGAUGCACGGACGCAUUACACAUUUGAGGUGAUAUUUCCUACGAGCGAACCCAAGCUUCCUAAGAAUGCUGCUGACACAUUCAAGAAGCAAUGCGGAGUUCUCGUUAGGGAUCACGUCCCGAUCAGCGUUCGGGAGUGGAACAAGCGCAAAGGGGCAGCCGAUAGUGACUAUGUCGCCGAAAGGUACAAAGAUAAUCUUUGGAAUGAUCUCAUGUCACAUUUCAACCUGCCAGAAUGUGAGAAUGAAUACGUCGCAGACAAACUGAGGGCCAAAGUCAAGCAGUGGACUCUGAAGAAGAUGGCCGAACUGUUCCGUAGCUGGAAGAAGAAGCUAUUGAAAAACUAUCUGAAGACACAGAAAGUGCCAGUAUUCGAGGGGUAUCUAGCCAAGCAGGCGAAUCACUGGAAGGCAUUUCAAGAGUACAAGGAGUCAGAAGAUGCCCAGGCAUUAUCAGAAAAGAACAAGAUAAAUGCCGACAAGAAGAUAUAUCACCACAAGCUGGGGCCAGGGGGCUAUGAGACUGCCAUCCCAAAGUGGGAUAAGAAAGAGCAAGAUCUGAUAGAUAAAGGCAUCGUACCUGAACCACUCCGUGAUGAGUGGGAAUUGAGAGCAAGAAAUUGGUUCCUUGCGCAUGAUGGGUCAUACGACGAAACAACAGGGGACCUCAUCUGCAAUGACAAUCUUGGGAUACCCAGGGAGAAUUGGAAAAGGAUAGUGAAAGAAAUUAAGGAGGGAAGAAGAAAGUUCACUGUAGAUAAAGAGAAAGAUUUGCUCACACUGGUCCUCGGCAAUGACGAACAUGGAGGACGAACGCGAGGCUUCGGUCCUUCUUACCCGUGGUGGCUUGGGUUUGCCAGAGACCAAGACACUUACAGAAGCCGAGAGAGAGCAAAGAAGCGGCAGCAGGAUGAGGAGAAUGACAAGUUCAACCAGUUGCUUGCCAGGAUUAACGAGCAACAGAAGCAGAUUGAUGAGCUUAGAGGAGUAGCGCGCCAGGAAGAUCCUGCACUUGAUAUUACCGGCGCCCCGUUUAAGCGGAAAAGCAGCGUGGCUGAAUUUGAGGCCCCGCCCGACGAUGCACGAAGAAUGAUAGAGGGCGGUCCCGGCUACCCCGUGGAUGGAAUCAAGGAGUCAACAUCAUGUGAACUCCAUCAGAAAUUCAAGAACAUAUCCAUGAAGGUGGCCGUCGGACAAGCUUUACCUUCUGGCCCUGAUGCACGCUGGCAUGGCCGUGAGAUUCCAGCUGGCUUUGCUAAAGUCGGGGUGGAUGAAAUCAUGACGGGGUUUCAUGAUAUGGAGCUCGACAUAGCUGGACCCGAAGAUGAGAGGACACUCGGAGAAGUAUUGGGUGGAGUCAUCCUAUGGGACAAGAACUACAUCAAGCUUCCAGGCUCGGCCCCAAGGACAACACCGCCUCUGAGUCGUCGCAGGUCACCUACACCUCCAUUACCUCCAAGCCCUCCACAUGACGUCGGCCAGCACAACACGAGUCCAUCUCGAUCACCGCCGUCGGACUUGGGUCGUCCGUCUCCGCCGCCGCCCGCAGAUGAUACUAAGCGGAAGCGUGCCAGCAAGAACGCUUCGUCGAUGAUUUCUAAGGGACGGAGCUCCCCAAAGCGCAAACUGUCGCCCCUCCCAAAGGUACCUCAUGCUAAUCUUCCUAUCAGACCUUAUUAUCGUACCCCCGAGGAAAACGCCAGGAUAGCAAAGGAACAACAUGAGGCGCAGAUGAAAAGGAAGGAACCCGAGCCCCACCCGAAAUACACCGAGAAGAACAUAGCAUGGGCAAAAGACUUCAUAACCACUCCAUCACAGUAUGACUUACACUAUAAGCCUGAUGACUAUACACGCACAUUGCAGAAGGAAGUGAAAAAGAGCAGGUCACAUGCAAGUGCAAGUGGGAGAAAAUCAAGUUCAACUACAAGCAAGAAAAAAUCAGACGUUCCUCAGCUUGGACAACAGGCCAAAUAGUCGAUCCCACCCCUCAAGGUGUUAACCGAGAAUGUUCCCCCUCCGGUGCAGGGGCAAGCUUUUGAAAAAGCAAAGGAGUUGGCGGAUGAAUGUGGUAUCUUGGUUGAAAUUUUGCUGGCUUCCCAAGACGACAGGAUACCCAAGGCUGUGGUAGCCCCUAAGCCACAGUUUGUCAUGGGGGAGCCUUUGGUUAGCAAAGAUGAUCUCCCAACAAAUAUGCGUUACUUGCAUAAAUGGUACUUAAGUGAAUCAAAGAAUGGGAGAACGAUGAUCGUGCUGAGUGUCCCACAGGAGUACUACGGCCGCUCCGAAGAAAUCCAUAUCGACUUUGAUGAACUCUUCCAGAUGUACAAUGGCGACGCCCUCGACAAAUCGCUUGUGAGUUGCUAUUGUCUGUAAGUUUUUCAAUUCGUUGUCUACAUAUAACUUGUUUAGUUAUUUCAAUUCAUUGUCUAUAUAUAACUUGUACUCUAUUAUGCAGAAUGAAGAUUCUGGAGUGUAAAAGUAAGAACAUCAUAAAUAUUGGGUUUAUUGAUCCAGAUAAAAUACAUAUAGCGACGCUAACUAAUUAUCCCAAGGAGACGGAGGAAAACCUUCUAAGGUUUCUAAGAGAUCAGAAUUUCUGUGACCACAUACUGUUUCCAUACAACUUCAGGUGAGGGUCUUUACUCUGUUGUGUCCAUUCACUUAUAAGUGUAAUUGAUAAGUUGCUCACACACACACACACACACACACAUAUAUAUAUAUAUAUAUACAUGUGCAGCUUUCAUUGGAUUCUGUUGGACAUUCAAAUUGAUAAGGGAAGAGUUGAUGCCUUCGACCCAUUAUCGAGACCCUUGGAACAGUUCCAAAGCCUACAGGACAUGCUCCAAGGGUAAUUUUAAUCAUUCUUUCGCUCUAUCGGUCUCUUUCGAUGGAUUUUCUGAUAUAUCAAUUAAUGAAAAACUUAGCAAAUCAUUAUCCUUGUCGGGCAGGGUUUGGAAUCGGUUCAAGUGCGUGACUCCCGGUAACUUUCCUGAGAAGCUGACCUUUAGAGCGGCUCAGGUAAGUAGUAGUAUGAUAUACUUCUAUUAAUUUUCAAUACAUUUAUGAUGCUAGAUUAUUAUUUUGGUUAUAUAUAUUCCAUUCUCGUAAAGUGCGACGAGCAGCCACGGGGAACGCAUCUAUGCGGAUACUAUGUUUGCGAGACCAUUCGCAUGUUUACCUCUGAGUUCAAGGAGCAAAGAUUCGACGUAAGCAAUGAACGUUCACACCUCUAUUUUUACCCGUCAUUCUUUGUUAUCAUGAUUGAUAUUCAUAUUCAUCUACUCUUCUUAUAUAGCACACGGCCAUGAGGACGACGGUCCUACCAGAGCAACGCGCGAUUGGUGUUGCAGAGGAGCUUGCGGAAUUCUGAGGACGGAAGCUAUAGAAGACAAAGGACGAUUUAAUGUAGCUAAGGGCCAUUACUCAUGUUCGUCCAUGUAAUCGAAUAGACGGGCUCUAGUCCCGAUAGUUCAGAUCUCCAUAUAAUUGUAUAUAUAUGAUCGCUUGUAAGAUAAGUUAAUCUUAUAUAUAUAUAUAUAUGCAUAAUUAUUUCUAUUUUAAAUUAUAUGAAAACUAAUUUCCGAACAUAAAACGAGGCAUCACGUUAAUCUCCUGAACACCUAAACCCUAAAACCCUAAAACCCAAAAAUAAUUUCAUUCAAAAAAAAUCCAAAAGCCAGCAAAAUCUGAAAAUCUUUAGUCCCGGACCGUGUAACGAACCGGGACUAAAGGGCCUGCCCCUGGGGCGCUACGAGGCGCCCACGUGGAGCACCUUUAGUCCCGGCGUGUAAGAGGGCCGGGACGAAAAGGUUAGGCCUUUAGUCCCGCCCCUUUAGUCCCGGUUGGUGAACCGGGACUAAAGCCCCUUACGUGUCGGGGCUAUAGGCCCUGUCCCCACUAGUGUAACGAACAAUCUCGUACAACUAUUGUACUGCAAAACAGACCAUCGAACAUAUGUAUCCUACACUAUUUGCACAUUUCAACCAUGUAUGAUUCUAGAUAUCAAUGGAUGUGCUUGCUUACUCAGUUCACGGCACGUCACCACACCCCUCGAUGGCAUGAUGAGCAGAAGCAGCAUGUACUUAUCGACGAUCGCCUUAUGCACAUCGAUGGCCAGCCAAACCGACGGAGACUUCUCAGAGGCUGACGAUCAGGAAAAUUAGCUUGAGGCGCAUGGCUACCCGACGGGCGCUGGAGGAAGCCAUUGUUUUGUGGUCGUCGAUGAGGAGUCACUGCAACUAAAAUCUAAACUAUACGACCCAAAUCGACACAAACUGAAGACAAUAAGAAAUAUAAAAUUACCGAAAAGAAAUAGUUAAUACCUGAAACUGCAAAAAUAAAGGCCUGCAUCUCCUGGGAAGGCCAUACAAACAAUGAGAGCCAUAAAAAACCUGUACCGGUAUAAAUAGCCAUCCCCUAGCUCAAGGAAAUAAUUAAAGAGCAAGCAAGUAGAAAGGGAAAUGAUGAUGACAGAAUAUGAAAUAACCGCACCAAUAGAGAGAAAAGAAAGUGGUCGCUGGUGGUUAACGCACUGAAUUUACCAAAGGUAAAUGAUGCACAAGUAAAAGAUAUAGGAUACCUAAAGAGCUUAAAGAGCUACCAGAGUAUAAUGGACCAUCCUAAGGAAUGUAUUUCGAACUUUCUUUGUUACGAUACCUAAUAGAAGAUACAUACAUGAUGCAAGUUAGCUUGUAGGUCAACAAUUCUAAAUAUACCGCGGGAUAUAUUUUGAGAAUAAACGCAAAUAUUGAUGGGCAACUAAUACACAGAAUACAUGUCCUUAUGUGUGGAUUAAAACCUUAUUGCCAGAUUCAAGAGUUUGUGAUGGACAUGUGAUUAAAAAUGAGUAACGGAACUAUGACUUUGUAGUAGUAAUAGCAAAGUAAACAACAGCUAGGAUGAGAGACAAAACAAAGCACGGAUGACAUGUGACUAACCCUACAUAUACAAAACUUCAGUGCUAUUUGACAAUGGAUGAAAACUCACUUGUUCCUCAAUGGCCUGUGCUGAUCCUGCACCAUCCUAGAGUAAAUAGUACAUGUUAAUAUAUAGGAUUUAGUAAAGCUUUCAUUAGAUUGAACAAAGUUCCAGGUUAAUAUUAAAUGCUGGACAAUACCUAUGUAUGCUAGCAUUCAGGCCUAGUACAGUUUAGAGAAACUCACAUGAAGCAAUUCCAGGUCUAUGCCUAACUUUGUCUAGAGGAAUCUCAUAAUGAUGCCGAACUAAACUAUGAGUCACUAAAAAACAGCAACGUUAGUACUUCAUGAGAGUGAAUGUUCAUGUUAUUCCGAAGCAAGAAAUGUUAUUAUCAUGCAAUCCAAGGAAACUGUGUAGCUGAUCUUUGUUAUGUUGGAUCGUUGUACAAAGGCUACUAAAAUAUAACUAUAAUGCAAAAAUAGUUUCAGUUAUUGAAAUAUAAUUGUCUGAACCAUGUGUCAAGUAGUCCAGUUACCUGAUCUCAGAAACAUGGUCAAAGACCAUAGUACAAAGAUCAUAACAUCAAACACACUAACACCACCAAAUAAACAUGGGGAGAUCAACAUAGUUCUUCUGAAAUAAGUGCGUUGCAUAACAAAUAGUCAAAGAUAGAAAACUGAUAAGGGACAUGCCACGAGUUGACAAAAAAACAUCUCUGCGUAAUUUUAAAUGCAUAUGUAAUGAAACUUUGUAAGCUACUCCUAGUUCAGAAGUCAGAAGUCAUUGAGUCUGGAUGAAUAUAUUUUAGUUUUUCAUAGGCGAUAUUUGACCAAAUUGGUUUUCAGAAGUCAUGUUAUUUAUCAAACUCGAACUUACAGAAACCAUUUCUUAAUAAAAGAGUUACCGAAAAAAUAAAUCACCACCCAGUCUAGGCAAAACAAAAAGAAUAGACAGGGAAGAUACCGUAAGGCAGGAGACUGAUAAGUGCUAGGAAGGAAGCGUCCAACAGGAUCAUAGGAUCAAAGCGCAUAUACAAAGUAUGGCACAACUAACCUAUGAUUCUGACACCAUAUCCAAGUAUGAGCUCGUCGGAGGCCGCCGUGAGGUAGCUCAUCACUAUCGUGAAUGUUAUCUUGCUGCCGCCAUAGCCAACCCUGACAACAAGUGCUCUCCCAUCACUCAUAGCCCUAUGGCAAAGAUAGCUCUGCAGUUUGGCCGCUAAUGUCUCUUUGCUCAGAAAUCUGAAUGUAAGUGCACGGGAUGAUGAUGUUUUCCUUUCCCACAUUCACAAAAGGGGGACUUAUCAUGUGUUUAUCACAUUAAGCCAUCGCAUCAUUUUUUAACUACAAAUUAUUUCCAAUGCAGAAUGAGUACCUUUAUUUUGCCAUUCCUAAUCCAAAUAAAAUAGAUGAGAUAAAAGACAUGGGAUGCAACUCACGAAAGUUAAUAUGGUAUCCAAAGCAUUUUGUGACCAGCAAAAAAAAACCAAGAGCAUGUCAUUUGAUUUAAAAAAACUAAUCGGUGAUGUUCUUUAUCUUCUUGCAAUAACCCAGUCUUAACAUACUGUCUCCCGAGUGACAUUAGUUCUUUAUCAUGUAAUAUGUUUCUUACCUGAGAUACUGCUAGACUGCAAUUCUAAUGCUGUUACCCAAAGUUGAAGAGUUUCAACUCCAACCUGUAAGUUUGUUAGCAUGCCUUAAGCUGAAACCAUCAGAUAGCGAAUGAGCAUAUGUUGCACAAGAGCAUUUUUUUAUACAUGCAAAUUGGUAUCCAUUUUUUUCCACAACAGACAACUACAAUGGGUUAGGAGCUUGCAUAUGAGGCAUAUCAAUAUAACUAUCAGCCUUGCAAGCAAUUUGACAAAUACUUGAACUCCAUGAAUCCAUCACCUAUAAAUUCGAUUGUAGAUGUAAAAGAGAGGAUGUUCUCUGUUCUCUUCUUAUGCGGGCCUAUCAACUUCGAAGGUUGAACCCAUCAAACCCAUCAAAGAAUCACCAUAUGCGAUGAAAACAAAACAAAACGUAUGCAAUAAAUCUGAAGCAAACCAGAGAAGUCUAGAAGGGUGGGAUUUGUGUGUUUGCGUCGACCACAUACCUGAGUAGGUUGAUCUGGUCUUCCUCGAUGAAGUAGCGGGCCUGGAAGAUGUGCCCACACUCGUCGAGAAAUAGGGAGGGGUGCCUCUCCCACUGGAAGCACCGUGAUCUGCCUCCGGUCGAUGGCCACGCCAUCUCCUUCCCGCCCCCUCCUCUACAACCAUCUUCUUGAAUGGGUGGAAAACGAAGAAAAGAAGUUUUAGGGGACAAACGGAUCUGAGUAUGACGCCUUCUCCGGUGGCCGACGUCAGAGGAACUGGGAUGGAACGAUGGGACGGGGACGGGGACAGGGUGACGGCGGCAACCCUGGUCGCCCACCCUGGGAAGGAAAAAUGAGGAAAGGGGAGGUUGCGUGGGAGAGAAAGGAGAAGGGGUGGGGCUCGAGGUGACUCCCUCUCUGCAAACGAGGAGCGGUGGGACACCAUUUGCUUGCCCCACCUAAAGAGUGCCCGCAGCCUACGUGGCAUACGCGAGAACGCGUCCUUGCUGCGUAGCUUCUUGUUGUGGAUUGGAGUUUCGAGAAAAAAGUGCAGGGCGAACAGUACACAGAAAGUGCGCUUGGAUCGGGUGCUAGCAACGAGAGAAUGGAACAAGAUUUUUAGAACGGGGAUCACACUACUAAUCCCUAACGUGGCAUCAAACCAGCCCAACAAUACCUUACGAUGGGACUGCUUAUGGUUGUCCGAUAUAGUAUAACCGGUCCCAAGGACCCAUAAGCUGGAUUAAUUAGCAAAAGUCAUUGUAUCAAACCUCUCGUGCAUAUGGUUAUUUGGAACUUGUCACUCCCAAGAUGCGACCCUAUCCUCAAUUUGGCACGAAGGCCUCGUCAGGGAUAGAAGCGCAUCUCGUCGUGUCGCAAGAAUGGAUAUCGUUACAAGUACAUGUACUGAAAAGAAGAGAUAUAUAAAGAAUUGCCUUACACUCGCCACAAGCUACAUCAGAGUCACAUCAGUACAUUACAUAAUCAUCAAGAGGAAGAGCAGGGUCCGACUACGGACGAAAACAAACGACAAAAGAAGAACGACGUCCAUCCUUGCUAUCCCAGGCUGCCGGCCUGGAACCCAUCCUAGAUCGAUGAAGAAGAAGAAGAAGAAUCAACUCCAAAUGUACAGUCAACGCGCUCGCGUCAAGUAACCUUUACCUGUACCUGCAACUGGUGUUGUAGUAAUCUGUGAGCCACAGGGGACUCAGCAAUCUCACUUCCAAAGGUAUCAAGACUAGCAAAGCUUAAUGGGUGGGGUAAGGUUAAGUGGUGAGGUUGCAACAGUGGCUAAGCAUAUAUUUGGUGGCUAACUUACGAGCACCAGAAAUAAGAGGGGGAAGAUCUACGCAUAGCGGAUGUGAACUGCAGAUGAUCAAAUGAAUGAUCCUGAAUACCUACCUACGUUAGACAUAACCCCACCGUGUCCUCGAUCGGAGAAGGAACUCACGAAAGAGACAGACACGGUUACGUACACAGUUGGCAAGUUUUAAUUAAGUUAACUUCAAGUUAUCUAGAACCAGUGUUAAACAAAGCUUCCACAUUGCCACAUAACCGCAGACACGGCUUUUCGAAAAGAUUUAACCCUGCAGGGGUGCUCCAACUAGUCCAUCACAAAUUACUACAAGCCGCAUAGAAAUCCUCAAUCACGAAGCUCGCGAUUUCGUCGGAUUCCCUAGUGAAAAACCUCAACUCUGAGAUUACCCAAAGCAUCACGGGAAUCCUGAUGCACAAGAUAUUUCGUCAAAGGGAAAACUAAUCCAGCAAGGCCGCCCGACGUGUCGACGAUCCCGAUAGGAGUCGCGUACCUCGUUCUCAGGACACGAUGGAUAAGCGACGCGUACAGGUGCCAAACCUCGAGUUUCCUCGCGGUGGCCCCGCACAGUGCUCUGUUUUGGACCAAUACUCAUGAGGAGCACUGGCCCAUGGGUUGAUUAAAAUAGUCCGCGGGUGUUGGCGGGUCCCUAUGCAUUAUUAUUAGGUUAUUAGGCAAAUGUAGUACCAAAGUUGGGCCUUGCCAGACAAGCUUUAAUCUAAAACGAAUUAUCAAGGGGGUCCCCAUAACAACCCCGAUCGUGUUAGGAGCGCUCAUUUAUGGAACAUAACACCGGUAGCCGGUAACUAAAGGGGGCAGAGGUGGAACAAAACUCCAGGCUAGAAAGGCCGAGCCUUCCACCUUUUACCAAGUAUAUAGGUGCAUUAAAUUAAAUAGCAUUUAAUAUGGUGAUAUAACAAGGAACCCAUGCUUACACAUGUAAGCAUCUGCACCUGCAACUAGCAACGCUACACAGGGUUAAGAAAGCAGUAACAUAACCAAUCAGUGGUUUGCUAGGUUGAACAGGUUGAAGGUUACCAUGGCAUUGUUGAGGGGCUGGUAUUUAACAUGUGGUAGGCAACGAGACAUAAUCGAUAGAAGCGAUAAAACUAGCAUGGAAAUGAUAGUAAUGGUAUCUGGGGAAAUGAUCAUCUUUCCUGAGAUCCCGCUUGGAGGAAGAAUGCCUCCGGGAAGCAGACGAACCGACGUAGUCGAACGGGUCCUCACAUCCGACAUGCUUGCGGAACUCUAUCGAGACGGAGCAAACCGGAAACACAAAUCAACACACGGAAUUAACCACACGAUGCACAACACAAAUGAUGCAUGAACAACUGAAUACAUGCAAGUCACGGCAUGACAAAUCACACAAUCAAACACUACACAUUAAGUGAAGUUCAAUAUGCACGAGUUGCAUAUUGACGAAACUCCACGUUAAUUGUUUAGUUCACUCCCGGUUAUCUACACGGCAAUAUUAAUGUUGUCAAACAUGCAAGACGUGAAGCGGAAAUUAAACUACCUAUCUAGGCAUUUUAAGUGAGGUCGGAAAUGACAUAUAGCACCUCCGAAACGACCUCACAUGUUAAUUUACAAUUCUGUCCAGAUCUGAAUUAAUGCAUUUAAUUAGAUGUUAAAUAGCAAAACAAAUAGGUUCACGUGAUUCUACGCGUCAAAGCAAGCAAUCUACACAUAAAGAUCAUCUCCAACGGAGCUACNNNNNNNNNNNNNNNNNNNNNNNNNNNNNNNNNNNNNNNNNNNNNNNNNNNNNNNNNNNNNNNNNNNNNNNNNNNNNNNNNNNNNNNNNNNNNNNNNNNNCCUAUCAUGGUGAUGUCCAUCUACGAGAGGGGAUGAGUGAUCUACGUACCCUUGUAGAUCGUACAGCAGAAGCGUUAGUGAACGCGGUUGAUGUAGUGGAACGUCCUCACGUCCCUCGAUCCGCCCCGCGAACAAUCCCGCGAUCAGUCCCACGAUCUAGUACCGAACGGACGGCACCUCCGCGUUCAGCACACGUACAGCUCGACGAUGAUCUCGGCCUUCUUGAUCCAGCAAGAGAGACGGAGUGGUAGAAGAGUUCUCCGGCAGCGUGACGGCGCUCCGGAGGUUGGUGAUGACCUUGUCUCAGAAGGGCUCCGCCCGAGCUCCGCAGAAACGCGAUCUAGAGGAAAAACCGUGGAGGUAUGUGGUCGGGCUGCUGUGGAAAAGUCGUCUCAAAUCAGCCCUAAAACCUCCGUAUAUAUAGGUGGGAGGGAGGGGACCUUGCCUUGGGGGGGGGGGUCAGCCGAGUCCAAGGGGGAAGGCUCCCCCCCAAACCGAGUUGGACUUGGUUUGGUGGGUGGGAGUCCUUCCUUCUCUUCCCACCUCCUCCUUUUUUUUUCUUUUCUCUUUGAUUUUCUUUCCUAGGCGCAUAGGGCCCUUUUGGGCUGUCCCACCAGCCCACUAAGGGCUGGUGUGCCACCCUCAAGGCCUAUGGGCUUCCCCGGGGUGGGUUCGCCCCCCCCCCCCGGGUGAACUCCCGGAACCCAUUCGUCAUUCCCGGUACAUUCCCGGUAAUUCCGAAAACCUUCCUGUAAUCAAAUGAGGUCAUCCUAUAUAUCAAUCUUCGUUUCCGGAGCAUUUCGGAAACCCUCGUGACGUCCGUGAUCUCAUCCGGGACUCCGAACAACAUUCGGUAACCAACCAUAUAACUCAAAUACGCAUAAAACAACGUCGAACCUUAAGUGUGCAGACCCUGCGGGUUCGAGAACUAUGUAGACAUGACCCGAGAGACUCCUCGGUCAAUAUCCAAUAGUGGGACCUGGAUGCUCAUAUUGGAUCCUACAUAUUCUACGAAGAUCUUAUCGUUUGAACCUCAGUGCCAAGGAUUCAUAUAAUCCCGUAUGUCAUUCCCUUUGUCCUUCGGUAUGUUACUUGCCCGAGAUUCGAUCGUCAGUAUCCGCAUACCUAUUUCAAUCUCGUUCACCCGCAAGUCUCUUUACUCGUUCCGUAAUACAAGAUCCCGCAACUUUCACUAAGUCACAUUGCUUGCAAGGCUUGUGUGUGAUGUUGUAUUACCGAGUGGGCCCCGAGAUACCUCUCCGUCACACGGAGUGAUAAAUCCCAGUCUUGAUCCAUACUAACUCAACUAACACAUUCGGAGAUACCUGUAGAGCAUCUUUAUAGUCACCCAGUUACGUUGCGACGUUUGAUACACACAAAGCAUUCCUCCGGUGUCAGUGAGUUAUAUGAUCUCAUGGUCAUAGGAAUAAAUACUUGACACGCAGAAAACAGUAGCAACAAAAUGNNNNNNNNNNNNNNNNNNNNNNNNNNNNNNNNNNNNNNNNNNNNNNNNNNNNNNNNNNNNNNNNNNNNNNNNNNNNNNNNNNNNNNNNNNNNNNNNNNNNUACAUAUUCUCCGAAGAUCUUAUCGAUUGAACCUCAGUGCCAAGGAUUCAUAUAAUCCCGUAUGUCAUUCCCUUUGUCCUUCAGUAUGUUUCUUGCCCAAGAUUCGAUUGUCGGUAUCCACAUACUGUUGGGGAACGUCGCAAGGGAAACAAAAAUUUCCUACGCGCACGAAGACCUAUCAUGGUGAUGUCCAUCUACGAGAGGGGAUGAGUGAUCUACGUACCCUUGUAGAUCGUACAGCAGAAGCGUUAGAGAACGCGGUUGAUGUAGUGGAACGUCCUCACGUCCCUCGAUCCGCCCCGCGAACAAUCCCGCGAUCAGUCCCACGAUCUAGUACCGAACGGACGGCACCUCCGCGUUCAGCACACGUACAGCUCGACGAUGAUCUCGGCCUUCUUGAUCCAGCAAGAGAGACGGAGAGGUAGAUGAGUUCUCCGGCAGCGUGACGGCGCUCCGGAGGUUGGUGAUGAUCUUGUCUCAGCAGGGCUCCGCCCGAGCUCCGCGGAAACGCGAUCUAGAGGAAAAACUAUGGAGGUAUGUGGUCGGGCAGCCGUGAGAAAAGUCGUCUCAAAUCAGCCCUAAAACCUCCGUAUAUAUAGGUGGGAGGGAGGGGAGGAGGCAGCCUCAAAACCUAAAGGUUUGGCCGAAAUUGGAGGUGGAGGAGUCCUACUCCAAUCCUACUUGGAGUAGGAUUCCACCUUCCCACUUGGAAACUCUUUCCACCUUGUGUUUUUUCCUUCUCAAACCUUAUGGGCCUUAGUGGGAACUUAUUCCAGCCCACUAGGGGCUGGUUUAUCUCUUCCCAUAGCCCAUGAGACCCCUUGGGGCGUGACACCCCUCCCGAUGGUCCCCGGCACCCCUCCCGGCACUCCCGGUACACUACCGAUGAGCCCGAAACUUUUCCGGUAAUGCACGAAAACCUUCCGGUAACCAAAUGAGGUCAUCCUAUAUAUCAAUCUUCAUUUCCGGACCAUUCCGGAAACCCUCGUGACGUCCGUGAUCUCAUCCGGGACUCCGAACAACAUUCGGUAACCAACCAUAUAACUCAAAUACGCAUAAAACAACGUCGAACCUUAAGUGUGCAGACCCUGCGGGUUCGAGAACUAUGUAGACAUGACCCGAGAGACUCCUCGGUCAAUAUCCAAUAGCGGGACCUGGAUGCCCAUAUUGGAUCCUACAUAUUCUACGAAGAUCUUAUCGUUUGAACCUCAGUGCCAAGGAUUCAUAUAAUCCCGUAUGUCAUUCCCUUUGUCCUUCGGUAUGUUACUUGCCCGAGAUUCGAUCGUCAGUAUCCGUAUACCUAUUUCAAUCUCGUUUACUGGCAAGUCUCUUUACUCGUUCCGUAAUACAAGAUCCCGCAACUUACACUAAGUUACAUUGCUUGCAAGGCUUGUGUGUGAUGUUGUAUUACCGAGUGGGCCCCGAGAUACCUCUCCGUUCACACGGAGUGACAAAUCCUUGUCUUGAUCCAUACUAACUCAACUAACACCUUCGGAGAUACCUGUAGAGCAUCUUUAUAGUCACCCAGUUACGUUGCGACGUUUGAUACACACAAAGCAUUCCUCCGGUGUCAGUGAGUUAUAUGAUCUCAUGGUCAUAGGAAUAAAUACUUGACACGCAGAAAACAGUAGCAACAAAAUGACACGAUCAACAUGCUACGUCUAUUAGUUUGGGUCCAGUCCAUCACAUGAUUCUCCUAAUGAUGUGAUCCCGUUAUCAAGUGACAACACUUGCCUAUGGCCAGGAAACCUUGACCAUCUUUGAUUAACGAGCUAGUCAACUAGAGGCUUACUAGGGACAGUGUUUUGUCUAUGUAUCCACACAAGUAUUGUGUUUCCAAUCAAUACAAUUAUAGCAUGGAUAAUAAACGAUUAUCAUGAACUAAGAAAUAUAAUAAUAACUAAUUUAUUAUUGCCUCUAGGGCAUAUUUCCAACACAUACCUAUUUCAAUCUCAUUACCGGCAAGUCUCUUUACUCGUUCCGUAAUACAAGAUCCCAUGACUUACAGUUAGUCACAUUGCUUGCAAGGCUUGUGUGUGAUGUUGUAUUAUCGAGUGGGCCCCGAGAUACCUCUCCGUCACACGGAGUGACAAAUCCCAGUCUUGAUCCAUACUAACUCAACGGACACCUUCNNNNNNNNNNNNNNNNNNNNNNNNNNNNNNNNNNNNNNNNNNNNNNNNNNNNNNNNNNNNNNNNNNNNNNNNNNNNNNNNNNNNNNNNNNNNNNNNNNNNUCUUCUCCUCCUCUUCUUUUCUUCUCUUCUCCUCCUCUUCUUUUCUUCUCUUCUCCUCCUCUCUUCUCUUCUUUUCUUAUACACUAUACACUAUAUACACUAUAGCAAAAUUCCUCCUCUCCUUAUACACUAUACACUAUAUACACUAUACACUUAAGCAUAUACACUAGACAAUAUACACUUUUUCUUCUUUUCUUCUCCUCCUCUUCUUAUUUUCAUUUUUCCUAAUCUUAUUUUCUUAUUUUUGUUCAUAUUUCUUCUUCUUGUAACCCUAACCUAAUUCUAAAUAUUACUAACCCUAAUAAUCUAGCACAAACCUAAUAACAAUAGGAAUUAAAUGACAAAAAAAUCUUUUCUUUUUCUUCUUUUCUUCUCCUUUUUCUUCCUACUUAUUUUUUUGAGCUACUUCAUUUGGUAUAUUUCGUGCAUUUACUUUCUUUUUUUGAGCUAGUUGACCCUGAAAUUGAAAAGCACUACAAAUGAACUCUGAAAAUGUUGAAAGUUGGCAUGCUAUCAUCAUUUCACCCACAUAGCAUGUGUUAAAAAGUUGAGAGGGCUACGACAAAAACUGGAUGCACUUCGUGUACAAAACUGACAAUCUCUCUCGAAGUAGCAGGGUUUCGAACGAGAACUCAUCUCUUACAAAGGGAUUUCUAUUUUUUUGAACUUAUUUGAACUCCAUACUUUUUGUGUGUUCAAAAUGCACCAUUCAAAGGCACAUCACAAAAUUUCAACAAUUUCUGACUUCAUUUGGUAUAUUUCGUGCAUUUACUUUUUUUUUGGAGCUAGUUGACCAUGAAAUUGAAAAGCACUGAACUUAUUUGAACUGAAGACUUUUUGUAUAUAUAUGUGGUCAAAAUGCAUGAUACCAUGAAGUUAGAAAGGGCUAAACCAUUCAAAAGUAGCAAAUGAAGUUAGAAAGGGCUAAACCAUUCAAAUUUGGAAACUAUAAUGGCACAAACAGAAACUAGACAUAUAUAAAUUGGUCCAAGAAGUACAUGAUACUAGCCCAAACAGUACAUAAUAAUAGCUACCAUAGAUAUAUAUACAAGUGUUAGACGUUCAGAACACUACUCGUCUGAAUCAUCUAAAUCAGAAUGUCCAAGUUCCUCGAGGUGACACUGGCCAUAGUUGACGACUCGAAUCUUGCGGUACAACUCAUAUGAAACGUAUGCAUCUUUUGCUGCAUACUGAAUGUUGAUAUCAUCAAGUGGGCCCUUCUCCCAAAGUUUGUGCUGAUACUUUGGGAAACUGGUCUUCAUAUCACCAUAUGACUCGUCAAACAAGGCAACUGCCAUAUGAGCCAUUGAAGUCCUGUCAUGUCGAAGCCUGAAUAUCGUUUGGAGAUCAACGAGGCAACCAGCUGGUAUCUCAAUACCGAAGCUGUGCCUCAUCUUCAGCCUGUCGUUCCUUAUGUCAACGGGAGCAAAAGUGACGCCGCUGCGAAGGAACUCCAUGAGUCCAGGACAAUGCUUGUCACUCCUGCAAAAGAAACAAAUUAGAAUGGAACAAAUGUUAUAUACUGCUGCAAUAAGGAAACAUGUUUCACUACAACUAAAGAGAAACUUAUCUUUAGGAUUCAAAUAGAACAUAUGCAAUGGAACCUAGAGAGAUUACUACAACUAUUUGAAGCGAACCAACUAUGAUUCCAAUGGAACAUAUUAAACACUAGUUCAUUCUAAUACGAUUUUUCAGAUUAUGGAACACUAUUCCAAUCAGAUUGUGUUCCCCUUCAACUAAUCAAAAUUGUUUCACUACAACUAUUUGAAGCGAACAAACUAUGAUUCCAAUGGAACAUAUUAAACACUAGUUGAUUCUAAUACGAUUUUUCAGAUUAUGGAACACUAUUCCAAUCAGAUUGUGUUCCCCUUCAACUAAUCAAAAUUGUUUCACUACAACUAUUUGAAGGGAACCAACUAUGAUUCCAAUGGAACAUAUUAAACACUAGUUGAUUCUAAUACGAUUUUUCAGAUUAUGGAACACUAUUCCAAUUAGAUUGUGCUCCCCUUCAACUAAUCAAAAUUGUUUCACUACAACUAUUUGAAGGGAACCAACUAUGAUUCCAAUGGAACAUAUUAAACACUAGUUGAUUCUAAUACGAUUUUUCAGAUUAUGGAACACUAUUCCAAUUAGAUUGUGCUCCCCUUCAACUAAUCAAAAUUGUUUCAGUACAACUAUUUGAAGGGAACCAACUAUGAUAGAAACAAAUAAACUUAUACAAUGUCAUUAUCUUGGAUCAAAGAAAGCCUCAAAACUUACUUCGCCCAUUGGAAGAUCAAGACAUGGCUUGCGAAGCAUAUUUGGAUGACGGCAACACCGCGUUGAUCGGCCGUGUACUCCAGAUCCAGCCCGAAGAACUUCUCAUAAACCGGUGCGUGGUUAAACCAUCGUUCCUUCAACUGUUGGAGGAAAAACGGCACCUCCGUGCUCAGGUUCGUGUACACGACACGGAGCUUCGUCGUGCCAUGCGCGACCACCUCAUGAAAGGUAUUUGGCAUGGUGGAAGAAGAGAAGAGAAGAAGAGAGGAGAAGAACAGAGAGGGCGACGCGAGAGAGAAGAAGAACAGAGAAGGCGACGCGAGAGAGAAGAGGAACAGAGAAAUGGCGACUGUACGCUUCGGUUCGUGCUUUUCAUCGCCCGAAACGACGUGGGAUGCAAACCGUUUGGGCCUUUAAUCCCGGUUUGAGCCAUCAACCGGGACUAAAGAGGUAUACCAAACGGUUGCCACCACUACGGCAGGCCACUGUUAGGCUUUUAGUCCCGGGUUCAACCACCAGCCGGGACUAAAGAGGUAUGCCAACGGUCGCUCCACUACGGCAGGCCACGUGUUAGUCCUUUAGUCCCGGGUUGAGCCACCAACCGGGACUAAAGAGGUAUACCAAUCGUCGCCACAACCACGACAUGCCACGUGUUAGUCCUUUAGUCCCGGGUUGAGCCACCAACCGGGACUAAAGGGUGAUACGAACGGUUGCCACCACCACUGCCCGCCGCGUAGCCCUUUAGUCCCGGUUUAGGACAUGAAUCGGGACUAAAGGCUCCUUACGGGCCGGGACUAAAGCCUCGAGGGAGGCAUUGAGAAUUGGAGCGACGUGGCCGGGCCUUUAGUCCCGGCCCAGAGACAGGCCGGGACUAAAUGGUCCAGGCCAAAGACCCGUUUUCUACUAGUGUUACUUGCUACUGUUCUACAAGAUUGUUGCGAUUAAGCUUCGCUAUAUUUGUAUGCGACUGUGCUACAGAAGUGAAAGCACAUUGUUUAGUAUAAAGAGGAUCCCCCCCCGGCGAACACACACACCAGUAGUGGGUUCCAAACUGGGCGUGUGCGCCAUCGACUGAUGAAGCUCUGUCCCCAUAUUAUUAUUUUAUUGAGGCAUGGUUUAGGUUUAAUAUAAGAGGCCAGCCGGGCUUUGCAGUAUUUUCUAUGUUCUUUACAACUUGCAAAAAAUACAUUGGUAAGCCCAGCCCAGACCCCAGAGUCUAUCCACAACUCGUCCCGAGAGUUCCUUCCUCUAAAAACGAACUCGUCUCGUUCCUGGAAUCCACGGAGGCUGGGACGGAAACCCUACACGGACGAGAACCAUGGCGCAGUCCGCGAGUGCAGGGGCGACGCAUACCCUUACCCUUGGUGGCCUCCCGGAGGAGAUCGUCACCUGGGAGAUCCUCGUGCGCCUUCCCCCCAAAGCCCUCCUCCGCUGCCGCGCCGUCUGCCGUGCCUGGCUCCGCGUCACCUCCGCCCGUGACUUUCUCCUCGCCCACCACGACCGUCAGCCCUCCCUCCACUUCCUCUACGGCAUCGGAUACGGUGGAGGAGUCCGCCACAAAGACAUCCUCGCCUUCGAGAACAAGGCCUCCACCGCCGUCCAGCUCCACAACAUUGCCCGGCUUCACAAGUACGUCUUACUCCGAGCCUCUUGUGAUGGCCUCCUCAUCGUCCUCUCGCUUACCUAUGGCUUUCAUGGCAUCUCGUUAUUUUGUUGUAACCCGGCCACUCGCCAGUAUGCACCCCUGGGGAUAGAACUUGGUUAGCACAGGACAUGUACGUCGUGGGAAUGUACCGACAUCGUCCUACCUGUGAGUAUCGGUUGUUAUUGCAAUGGAGUGGGUUUAAGGAUUUGCCUGAGGACAAACGAAUUGGCUUCUACGUCUUCACGUUGGGCUCCGACCAGCAACCGAGGUACAUAGGUUGGCCAGAGAUGGGCUCGGCGUACUUCAACGUACCUGCUCGAGUGCGUGAUAGCCUGCAUUGGUACAUCAGGUCCCAAAGCAAAAUGAUAGUAGUAUUUAACACCAUAACUGAGUCAUUUAAGCAGAUGCGUGCUCCAACUUUUUCCAUUAGUGAACGACGCAUCUCAUAUAUCUUUGAGGCGGAUGGCAAGCUAGGGAUGCAUACCCGUAAUAGUGCCAUAGAAGAAAUUGUUGAUAUAUGGGUGUUGCAGAACUAUGAAGCUGAGGUUUGGGUGUUAAAGUGCCAAAUCAAACUGCCGCUGGCGGAAGUAAUGGGGCGGUUUGAAGGCUGUGAUGAAUUAUGGUAUGUGAAUGUUGCUUUGGAGCAUGGUCGAGUGUUUUUACAGGCGAGUGUGGGCAAGUGGGUGUUCCACAUUGACAGAGAUGGAAAAUUGAUAGACAGUUUUCAUCGUGGUGUCGGAAGCCUCUGUGAGUAUGGAUUUCGGCUCAAACAAUCUCUCGUUCCACACAGUUUCUUUACGGCAGCAGAAGGUUCUCCUCUGAACGCUUCACCUUUCAUCUGAUAGAUGGAGGCUACAAUAUCUUUGAACUGAAUGAAGUAUGAGCCGUCUUGCUUCUUUUUUACGUUGAUGUUUCAGUUGCAUUGUUUGGAACAUCUCUUAUUAUUACUCCGCUUGUUUAUAUUUGAAGGACUGGUGCUUCGUGGAAUGUUCGAUCUUAAGUUUGUGAAGCAAAUCCCAUUUAAAAAAAAAGAUUGGGAAGCAAAUCUUCUUGUACUAGUGGGCACAAGAAAUGUUUUCCCAGAUUUUGUUCGUAGAGUUUUUUUUGAGGAAGCUAUUUAUUCAGACGUCACAAUGUUGACAGGGACGAAGGAAAGGUUUCCCGGAUUGCCCAACCAAACAUGUCGGCCAAUUCCGAGCGAGAGAGUGUGCUUUGCUAGAUUGUGAGCUUCAUAAUUCGAGCUCCUAAAUUCAUGAACUCUAUUACACAAGUGUAGGCUAGCAGAAUGUGCCGAAAUCUCUUGGAUAACUGCUCUGUAAGGCGCCUUCAUCCCUUUCUUCAAUUCUUGUACCACCGUUUUACAAUCCGAAGCGAUCUCAAUGUCUUGGACAUACAAAUCCUCAGCCAAAGAUAGAGCUUCCCUUUUAGCCAUUGCUUCAAGAGUGGGAGGAUCUGUGAUGAACUUUAUUACAAUCACUGAAGCUCCAAGGAAAACACCAUUUUGGUCUCGACAGAUUGCACUAACAGCUCCACAUCUCCUUCUUGUUGACACAGCCACAUCCACAUUGACUUUAGCACUCCCCUGGAAUGGUAGUAUCCACGAAGAUUGUCGUGACCCUGGAACAAAACCGGCUUCAGAUCCCGACCAUUCGCUUGCUGAACUUCAGAUAGAUAUCCUGCUAUGAAACUGUUUGUAGCAAAAGGAGACUGGAAAAUAUCUUCAUAUAUUGCUUUCCUUAUUACACCCCAGAUUGCCCAAGCUGUCACCACUAGACGAAGAAACUCCUCAGUAAUCAAUAUCUCAUAUGGAGCAAAAAGCCACUCCUUCGGAUCCUCCUGCUGACAGCAUAUGAUCUUCUCCACGAGUUCAUCAGGAGCUAGGGCCCAAACACUUCUAGACAGCGAGCAUGUAAGUAGAGCAUGUCUCCAUGUAUCUCUUGCUCCACACAACCUACAAGUGUCCUCAUCCGCCAUGUGUCUAUGUUUCAGCACUUCUGCCGUGGACAUGGACUGUCUUGCUAGCCUCCAGACGAACAUACGUAGCUUUGAUGGAACCUAGAUAUGUCAAAUGGAAGUCCAUAAUUUACAAUCUCUCUCUCAGGUACCAGUUUCUGCAUAAAUCCAACCUUCCCUACUAAGUUUUGUCCUCAGAACCAUCUGAUAGGCCGACCGCACAGAGAAAAAACCUCUGGUUUCCUCAUGCCAAGCCCAAAAGUCAAAUUCCGUGUACACACCUGGAUAUGAGCCGUCUGGCUUCUUUUUUACGUUGAUGUUUUCAGUCGCAUUGUUUGGAAUAUCUCUUACUACACCACUUUGUUUAUAUUUGAAGGACUAGUGCUUCAUGGAAUGUUCGAUCUUAAGUUUGUGAAGCAAAUCCAAUAAAAAAAAGAUUGGGAAGCAAAUCUUCUUGUUCUAGUGGCCACAAGAAAUGUUUUUCCAGAUUUUGUUCGUAGAUGAAGCGUGAAGCGAGCAGGCCAUCACCAGGCCAAUCUGGUGACAAACUGACAAUGCAUGCAGUUGUAUUCUGAUACCGAACAUUUUCGAUACCGUGUUACUGCUACUUGCAUCAUGUACAUCAUUGAAGGUUAAUUUGCUUGGCCGCUGACUUACUGUGUGACUUGCGUAGUUGUGUUCUUCUCUUCCGGCGCACACUGUUUUUAGCUCCGAUAAACCUUUGUUUUGUGCUCUUUGGUGGAGGGAGGCAGUUCUUCCACAACUCUGUUUUUUUAAGCUGGAGGAGUGCAUUGGCCCUGUUUGAAUCCAUGGACUAGAGUUAAAGUUGAUUACAUUGGACCGAACUAACCCCAAAACAUCCAAACAGGAGGGUUAGAGUUGAUUAGAUGCGUCUAACCCAUCCAAGAGGUGCUUAUUUGAGUUAGAGUUAGGUGGGGCUUAGAAAAAGUUACUUUCCCCUUUGCCUUCACUAUACAAAAUCUUGGAUAAACGAGCCAAAUGAUUAGAAAAAUACAUUUAUUCACAAUCUAACCCUGUCAUCCAAACACCUUUUUUUUAGAGUUAGUUUAGGGUUAAUUUAGAGUUAGAACUAACUAUGACCUCUAACUCGAUUAAAAUAUCCAAAUAGGGCUAUUGAAUAGCUGUCAGAAGGGGACAAGUGCCAAGCACGAGGCGAUCUUGGAUCACUCCACCAUGAGUUGGGAGUUGAGACUUGGCAGUGGGAGCGGAGGAACCUGCACGGCAGCUUCGAAUCCCAUCUCGAUCGAGGCCGGCGUAAUUGGAAGUUGACGCCGCGAAUCUCGACGGCGUUGAUCAUGUUGAUUAAUUCGUCGGAAGUUGCCCUAUCCGAACUCCCAAGCUCCACCGAGCUCAACUUGGCCCUCCACCCAACCCCAUGGCGGACGCCCAAGCCAAAUCACUCUCUCAGCUGCUACUAGUCUACUACUGCUACUAUAUAAACACGCAUGGCGAUCAAAACCUCGCAUCAGUUGCAGAGUGGUAGUAGAUCACCAAGUCGUUGUAGCGAACCACGCUCCUGUCAGUAGGAAGCCAUGUCGCUACACCGCAGCUCGGCGGCUGCGCUCGCGGCGCUGCUGGCACUGGGGGUGCUGCUGGGCAGUACGGCGGCCGACGAUGGCGGCCAGCCCAUCGUGGCCCGCGUCAGCAAGGACGCCUCCACCUCCCUCUACAACAUCGCCAUCAAGGUCGGCGGGGUGCCGCUCCUCCUCGACCUCGCCGGCCCCAUGCUCUGGCUCGCCAACUGCCCGUCCCCGCACCGCAUCGUUCCCUGUGUCUCCCCCGUCUGCGACGAGGUGUCCACUACGUACCGCCCGCCCGGCUGCCCCAAGCCCGGCCUGCGCGGAGAAGGGCAGUGCGCCUGCCCCGCCUACCCGCGCAACCCGGUCGACGGGCGCUGCCGCUCCGACGACGCCACCACCAUCACGCUCGCCGCCAGCACCACGGACGGCCAGAACCCUAUCUUCCCCGUCACGUUCCGCGCCGUCGGGUCCUGCGCGCCUGGGGAGCUGCUGGAGUCGCUCCCGGCAGGAGUGGCCGGCGUCGCGGGCUUCUCGAGGCUGCCGCUGUCGCUGCCGACCCAGUUCGCGUCCUUGCUCAAGGUGGCGAACGAGUUCGCGUUGUGCCUGCCCAGCGGCGGCAGCGACGGCGUGGCAGUCUUCGGCGGCGGCCCGUUCCAGCUCCUGGCCGCGCCGCCCGUGGAGCUCGCCGGGCGCCUCCGCGAGAACCCGCUUCCGCUCCUCAAGCACCCCUACAACGGCGGCUACUACUUCAACAUCACCGGCAUCGCAGUUAACCAACAGCUCGUGCCCACGCCGCCCGGCGUCUUCGACCUCGACGCCAGCAGCGGCACGGGCGGCGCCGUCUUCAGCACCGUGACUCCCUACACCGCGCUCCGCUGGGACAUCUACUGGCCGCUCCGCAACGCGUUCGACGCGGCGACGAGCGGCAUCGCGCGCGCGGACAAGGUGGAGCCGUUCGACCUGUGCUACCAGGCGUCCGCGCUGACCGUGACCCGGGUGGGCUACGGCGUGGCCAACAUCGAGCUGAUGCUGGACGGUGGCCGGAACUGGACGCUGCCCGGCGCCAGCUCGCUCGUGCAGGUGAACAACCAGACCGUGUGCUUCGCGUUCGUCCAGAUGGCGUCGUCGUCGUCCAUGCCCGCGGCGCUCGACUCGCCGGCGGUGAUCCUCGGUGGGCACCAGAUGGAGAACAACCUGCUGAUGUUCGAUCUCGUGAAGGAGACGUUCGCGUUCAGUGGGCUGCUCCUCGGCAUCCGCACUACCUGCAGCAACUUCAACUUCACCAUGGGGAGUUCUUAUUAGAAGACUGUCACGUCCUGGUUUUGCGAAUGCAGCGUUUUCGUUCCAAUACUUCUGGUGGAACGAAUGUACCGUUGCAGUGUUGCGUAUGUGACGAGAAUAAAAUUGGAUACUGAUAUAGCUCACAUGUGUGGGUAUUAAGGGAGUCUUGCGACACGUCCUAUGUGUUGUGUAACGAAAACAGCCAACACGUCUAUUUGUGGAUAAAACAACUAACGCUCAUACGUCCAUCCUCCUGCCCUCGCGACCCGCACAUCCCGCCUGCCACCUCACGGUCUCGCAUGUCCACGCGUGACAGUUGUCACGGUUGCUCAACAGCAGUCCUCAUGUGUGAACAACUGUAUAGUCAUGUAACACUAGAAAAACAUGACAACUGAGAGGCGAGCGGACGGGUAGGCGCGGGACGGUAGUUUUACCUGGUUGCCAUGUAACACUGAAAAAUACAUGGUAACUGACACGCGUCCGGGCGCGCAACGAGAGUUUCACUCAAUUGUUAUGUAACACUAGAAAGACAUGACAAUUGUCAGACAUGCAGGCGUAUGGGCGCGACGUCAGUUCCACCACACGUCGGGUUGGCAGCCGUUAGCUCUACAUGCGUGAAAUAGACGUGUGAGCGAACUGAUAAUACUCCCACACAGAAGCCCAGUCCUACAUGGCAUAGAAAAUUUGACAAAACUUGUCAAGAUUUGUGUAAUCACAAACGGACGGGAAUCCAUGAAUGUGGGCGAAUAAAAUUUGGGGCCGAGCAUCCAUCAGUUUCUUUUAGGGUCCUGAUAUUGCCCAUACUUGUGGGCGUUAAGGGAGUCUUGCCACACGUCUCGUGUGGUGUGUAAGAGAAACAGCCACACGUCUACAUGUGGGCAAAUCAGCUAACGUCCACACGUCCGGCAUCCUAUCUCARGRCAAGCACAUACUGAUUGCCACCUCGCGGCCCCGCAUGCCCCCGCGUGACAGUUGUCAUGGUUGCUGAACCGUGGCAACUGUUUAUUUAACUGCGGUUGUCAUGUUAGGACAACUACAGUUGCCAUGGUUGCUUAACUGCACUCGCUAUGUCUGAACAACUGCAUUGCCAUGUAACACUAGAAARRCAUGACAACUGACAGGUCGUGUGGGCGUUGCGACGAUAGUUCCACCCAGUUACCAUGUAACACUGAAAAAAUACAUGGCAACUGACACGCGUGUGGGCGCGCGACGGCAGUUUCACUCAGUUGUCAUGUAAUACUGGAAAGAUAGGACAACUGACACACAUGAGGGCGUGUGGGCGCGACGCCAGUUCCAGCACACAUCGGGUUGGCAGCCGCGAGCUCUGCGUGCGUGAAAUAGACGUGUGGGUGAAUUGAUAAACAUUCACACACGAGCUCGGUCCUACGUGGCAUAGAAAAUUUGGUAAAACUUGUCAAGAUUCGUGCAAUCACAAACUUACGGCAAUCCAUGCGUGUGGACGGUUUCAAACGACCACACGUAUGUGCGUUAUCUUUUUGAUUCUUUUAAAGAAAAAUGUUUUACUCAAUUUUCCCAUUCUUCUCCCUCUCGCUACCACACAGUGUUUUCCUUAGCACUAGCUUGCUACCUCAUUCUUUCCUAGAUGGCUCAAAUUUGGGACUGAAGUGCGUCGGGACGAGAGCGAAGCGGACGCACGUGCCUUCUCGGUGUCCGUCCCAUCCACACCUGCUAGUCGUCCAACUAUUCGCGGUCAACUUAAUUAAUGACGGCCAUCCUCCACGGGCCCACGCGUGAGUGACUGUGGUCGGUCUUUUUUAAUCCAAGGGUGCAGUGGGGUUCGAUAUUAUCUGCUUCCAGACCCUUGUCCCCAUCUCGCCACCUCCCUGCUCCCUCGUCGGCGAUCAAACCCUAACCAGCAGCCAUGACCAGCUUCGACCAGAAAAAGGACUAGGUCCCCGUCGUCUAUCGUCACGAGCUGCACCGGAGGAGGUGGCCUACCUCCAGCAUAGGAGGGUGCUACGUCUGGCGGAGGAGCGCACACGUGCCGCGCUACCGCCGCCACCAGCACUGCCCGCGCCGGCAUAGCCCCCCGACGUCUAUCCUCGCGCGCUGGGUCCGGAGGAGGUGGCCUACCUCCAGCAUUAGAGGGCGUUGCGCCUGGCGAAGGUGCGCGCCCGUGCUGCACCAUCGCUGCCACCAGCACUGCCCGCGCUUGCACAACCUGCCACCUGCGUCGGCACAGCCCGACCUCACCAGCCCCGACGCUGACGACGAGAACGCAUAAGGUAGUGCGCAGUUCGGUUUUUUUAGUGUUCAAUUGUAAUGUAAUGGGGACGUGGACUCUUGCCCGCUUUCGUGGCCAGCUUUAAUGUUUAAUUUAUGUGUGUUUUAUUAUUCAAAAAUGUCUGCAAAUUUUUUAUGUGCCGUCAAAUUGAAUUGCAUCCGCGUUGGACACAUGCGCCGACCUAAAUACAGAAACGAACGUUGGUGCCCAUUAAACUGACCCAAACAAACAAAAAAGGAUAAAAUCAUUGUCCGUUUAAUUCAGCCGGUUGGAUUUACUCUUAGAUCAUAGAUCAUGAAUGAAUUUGACGCCCGCAUCAACAGGUCGAGCGACCCCUCGUGUGCUACAUGGCGGUUGUGGGGUUGUUUUGGCUAGUCAUGUCGCUCACAUUUGAUUGUGAUUGUGCGUUCUCGUUUGGUAAUUGGUUGCGUGGUUUCGUGGUCUUCAAUGGCCUUCGGCAACGGUAUGUGUGAUUCCUCUCCUCUGGCUCAACAAGAACUAUGGAGUGCCUCUGACCUCCCUAGCUCCACUAUAGACCCGAGCAUUUCCAGGCCCAUUCAGGUUCGGGCCAGGCUUUAAAAUGUCCGACCUCAAAAUACCAAGCCCGGGGCCGACCUGGCCUGUUCCACAACCUGAUAACAAUGCCUAUCUUUUAUGUUUUAAAGUGAUAAUUUGCUAUUUUUAGGGUAAAUGUCACUAUAAUGUUGUACUCCUUUCAUCUCAGUUUACAAGUCCGACAAAUGUAUCUAGAUCGUUAAUUUGAUCAACUUAACGAGAGACAUAUAUAACAAAAAGUAUAUCAUUACAAAAUUUAAAGUCAUAUUGACAAUCUAAAUAUACGUAAAUGUCUUUCAAAUUGUGACGGAGGAAGUACCUAUGUCUAUAUGAAAAAUCCUAAAAUCAUGUUGCACCGAGCUUUGGGUCGGCCUGUGGGGGUGGAAAGUGAGGAUUGUGCCUAGGCUGGUCAUCGGGCUUCCAGCUAGGCCAUAGAUGUAGGACGUACCUCUACCACCCUCCGCCACUAACCCCUCACUGGUUAUCAACGACAGUGAUAUCGUCCUUGGGGUAUGUGUGUAAGCUCCUCUAACCCCUUAGGCUGAUUGUAAUGGAAGUAUCACAUACUAGUAUCAUGCAUAUGAUACUAGUAUAUGAUAAUAUAUCCGUAAUGCAAAGUAUCAUGUGCUAGUAUCAUAGAACGGUUUAUUUAUUGACAUGCAUGACACAUAAUAGCACAACAUUUAAUAUGAUACGGUAUCAUAAUAUGAUACUCAAUCCUCUUUUUCUUCAUUUAAUUCCAUGACACCUCAUCAAAUAUGCCUAGUUGGCAUGUAUGAUACUACUUAUGAUACUUUCAUUACAACCGGCCUUAGGUAUAGGCGAAUCUGAUGUUAAUUACCCAGACCACUAUCAAAUUGAUGGUUGACUGAACCGUGUUGAACUAUUGGACGCUUCGUGCUGAGAGCCUGAGAUGUCGUACGUGCGUGUCCCCAACUCUCCGUCCUAGUGCUCUUUUCUGUCCUCCAAUAUAACUUUGCUUGCAAGUGGUAUUAGUUCCACGCUAGUGGCAGAUGUCACAUAUGUUUUUUCUAGUAAAAAGAGGAGUACCUCCGGCCUCUGCAUCAGCACGAUGCAUGCGGCCUUUUUAUUAAUAAGGAAACAAACAAUUUUCGGUUUUACAUAGUCUCCGACAUAGCAGUGUAGAAGCAAAAGUAAAAAAAAAAUGGUACAACUGGUAAAAUUGGCCUACAUGCCUAACCAUCUAUUUUAUUACUGGACUGUCAUCCAAAUCAGCUGAAGAUAUCCUGCGCUACCAUCUCCCAUCGGGUAGACCCAGUAACCAAAGGCUUCCUGGUUUCUGCAGGAGUGAGUAAUGACCAUGUAUGGAUCAAUACCGCAGCUCUGUGUAGUACCUGCAAAAAAUGUAUAUGCGUAUGUCUGUCAAAAACCACAUCAUUCGUACAGUUUCAUAUAGCCCAAAGAAGUGCACAAACUCCAAUACGGAUGUGUCUAGCAAUAAUCGUAUCCAAUACGGAUAUGUCUAGCAAUAAUCGUAUCAACUCCAUCUAGCCACGUUCCAAAUAACGUGUCAAUGCUAUCCGGAGUUAUAAUAUUAAAGGCAAUACGAGCUGUCUGUCAAAGAACUCUCGCAAGUCGACAUUGGAGAAAGAGGUGUUUAAUGUUUUCCUCGUUAUCACACAAGCUACACCGAGUACUCCCCCCCCCCAAUUACGUUUAGCCAAAUUAUCCUUAGUUAGAAUCACCUUCUUAUGCACAAACUACAUAAAGACCUUGAUCCUUAAGGGUACCUUGAAUCUUCAAAUAUUCAUGGACUUGGGGAUACUAGUUGUGUCAAUAAGAUUCAGAUACAUCGAUUUGACCGUAAAUAUUCCGAUAUUCGUAAGCUGCCAAUGCACCCUAUCAGGUUCCUCUGAUAGUUGGACAUCCAUGAGUCUCCUCACAAGGUGGAGCCAAUCCGCCCAGCGAUGUCAUAUCAAUGACCGUCUGAAUUGGAUAUUUAAAAGAUUUGACUGUAAGAUUGUGGCUACGUACGCGUCCUUGCGUUGCAUAAUAUUAUAGAGAGCUGGAUAUUGAAUGGCCAGAGGCAUCUUCUCCAACCACGAAUCCUUUGGAAUCUCGUACCCUCACCAUUUCCAAUAAUAAGUUUAGUUCUAUGGAAGAAGGCUGACCUUACUCUCAUCAAUCCCUUUUAGAAUGGUGAACCAUUGGGUCUCGCAUUUACCUGGGCUAAGGUUUUAAAAUGUAGAUACUUAUUACGUAAAAUUUAUACCCACAUGCCUUCUGUCUCUAUAGAAAGUCUGAAAGCCACUUACUUAACAGACAUCUAUUCUUUACCUCGAAAUUCUCAAUUCUCAAACCUCCUUGGUCUUUGGGCCUACAAAUAAUAUCUCAUUUAGCUAAUAUGUAUUUCUUCCUAUCAUCAUCACUCUGCCAAAAGAAUCUAGAUCGAUAAAAAUCCAACCUUUUGCGUACCCGUACUGGUACCUUAAAGAAGGACAGAAGGAACAUCGACAUACUUGUAAGUAUCGAGUUUAUCAGAAUUAAUCUUCCUCCAUAUGAGAGCAACUUACCCUUCCUGCAGCUUAGCUUUUUCUUAAAUCGAUCUUCGAUGCAUUUUCACUCAUUACUGGAAAGCUAUCGAUGGUGAAUAGGUAUGCCUAGAUAACUGAACGGUAGGCUCCCCAGUUUACUGGAUUAUAGGUUUGACCAAGAUAAUAAAAUAAAUAACAACAUUUACAAUACCUAAUAGAUAAAAUAUGAAACUACUUUUCAUUAUAUAUCAAAUGAUAUAAAUUUUGUAUUGUGCAUAUUGAUAUAUUUUUCUAAAAACUCAAUAAAAUAUGCAGUCGUUUGACUUUUGAAAAAAAAGCUAGUACAUCUAUACUACUAAUAAAAGAUCAAACGUAAACUUCCCUAUGUACACACAACUAUUACCCCCACAAAAACAAACACCAAUCACCACCACACAAAUAGACAACAAAUUACAAUCUAACGGCCUUCCACCAUUCAGGCAGCACCACCGUGUGCAUUUACCAAAUAAAAUAAGGCUGACCGUGCUCCACCUCCUCGCUCAACCCGCUCGCCUCGCGCCCCCGUCGCCCCCGCUCAGGCCGUAAACACCCCUCCCCACCCACGAUCGUAGCCUCUUCCUUCCCCAAACUAUCGACGCAUCCUCCCCCCGCCACCGCCGGUCCUCCGCCAUCGAUGCCUACUCCUCCCGCCCCGAGCCCCGCCACCUCGGCCUCCCCAUCCCACGAUCCCGCGGCCCUCCUCUCCCCGCGCCCCGCCACCGCAGCCUCCCCGCCCCAUGCCCCGUCGGCCCUCCUCUGCCCGCGCCCCACCGGCCCUCCUGCCCCUGUGCCCCGCCACCUCGGCCUCCCCGUGUCCCGCCACCGCGGCCUCCACGCCCUGCGCCCCAGCGGCCCUCCUCUCUCCGCGCCCGGCCACCGCGGCCUCCCCAGUCACGCGCCCCGCCGGCCCUCCUCUCCCCGUGCCCCGCCAUCGCCGGUCCUCCUCUCCACGCGCCCCGCCUCCUCUGUGCCGCGGCGGCGGGGGAUGCGUCGAGCUCGGCCCCGGCGCCCCGGAGGCUGGUGCUCUACACCAAGCCGGGGUGCUGCCUCUGCGACGGCCUCAAGGAGAAGCUGCACGCCGCCGUCCUGCUCGCCGGCACCCCCUACUCCCUCGCCUCCCUCGAGCUCCAGGCGAGCAAACCCAGAACCAGUCCAUAAUCUCUUUCUCGUCCUGAGAUGAAUGCUUACUUAGUUACUUUGGAUGCUGGAUGGACUAAUUCGAUCAGGAGAGGGACAUCACGACGAAUGGGAGCGGCUGUACCAGUACGAGAUCCUGGUGCUGGCCAAGGUGCUCCCCGACGGCACCGAGGUAUCCAUCGAUCCGCUCGCGAUUCACCCUUUUUUUGCCAUGUUUUCGGCUACGCAAUGUAAGCUUGCACAUAGCUAAAUUAUGAUACCAGCAUACAACAUCCAUCUGGCUGUAUAAAUGUCUCAAUUGGAUAAACGAAAGCAGACAGUGGCUAUGCCUCGCUGGUUCGCUGUAGUUGGUAUACUCGCCACAGAUAAUAAAAUCAUGGAGAACAUAAAAAGAAGAUGGUAUUGAUCGAAUCAUCUUAUUUUCAGGUAUAAUCAGGAUUCAUAAGAAAGAAGAAGAAUGACAUCUCUCUUCCCCUCAAUUACUUCUUUGUGUUGUUUGUUUCUUGUAUAUACUAUGAAGAAAUUGUAUGUUAUCCUGGAUAACUCAAUACUACAAUUUUUUAGUGUACAAAAAAUUUAGGUGUCACUUGGUUAAGCAACAUUUGAGACUAUUCUAACACUAUUAUGGAUUAUUUUCUAUAUUUCUUCUUUCCUAAUUAUCUUCCUUUUACUGAGGAUUGCAGCUAAAUGUGCUCCUUUUUACCGCAAGGGAAAUGGUCAUUUGAGUUAUUUUAUUUCAAUUAUAUUGUAAUAGAGCUUCCAGUGGUCCUCCUACAUGAUUGCAUCCCAUGUACUCUCAAAAUACCCGAUUAUCCUGAAAGAAAGCAUUAGAAAUUUAUAUAAAGAUAAAAAACAAAUGGGUGUAUUAUUUGAAGACGAAUACAAGUUUGACCUCUUUCUGUAAUAAACAAAUCCAGACACAUCAAUUGCAAAUGCUCAGGUUAGUGAAGUUUGUGAAGACGAUGUUCAUGGAGAAUCGAUGUUCAAAUCUGUUUGUAAUAUCAUCUACAUUCCAUACUUGUUUAUUGGCCUAGCGAAUCCAUAUGUACGGCUUGCAUUGCCAAUUAUUGUACUAUUUUUCUUGUUUAUGUAUGGUAUUUUCCGCAAAGAUUCACAUAUAUGCUGUGAGCUGAUUCUAAGUUUGGUAGAAAACCCACAUAUAUGUUAAUGGUUAGAACUUCAGUCUAUUUUUCUACCUAUUCCUUUGUUUGUAGAGUUUAGUUCUGUUCGACCAUGUUUCGCUAGGAAUAAUGUUGAUUUGUAUUCCUUUUAGACCCAACCUCCAGCCCUUCCACAUGACAAGAAGCCCAUAUCUUCCAUUACAUAAAUCAUUUAUUAAUGGUUUAGGAACUUGAGACUCUCUCUUUAUUUUAUUUUAUUGGAAACUGCAUCAUAUCAUGUUCUGAGUAUUUAGUAUCAGAUUAAGGUCUGAAUGACGAUACAUGCUCGUAAAUGAUAAGCUGGGUUGAAGUAUUAGGUUCUUUCCUUUGUUUCAUUCGUGGAAAAACACACACACACACACACACACACAUUCUAUUGUUCAUCGCCUUUGCGUGCAGAUUUUGUUGCAUAGUGCCUUUAGCUAUUUUUUCCUAUUUUGUUCUUUGUGCAGCACAAGUGGUCCUCAUCUCGAUGGCGAUUUUGUUCAUGCUCUUCUCGGUCCAGCGCUUUGGGGCCGACAAGGUCGGAUACACCUUUGUGCCAGUCAUCUCAGUGUGGUUCCUUCUAAUUGCCGGCAUCGAGAUGUACAACCUUGUUGUUCACGACAUCGGUGUUCUGCGGGCCUUCAGUCCGAUGUAUAUAGUGCAAUACUUCAUAAGGAAUGGGAAGAGUGGACGGGUGUCACUUGGUGAGAUUAUCUUGUGUGUCACAGGUAACCUUUUUGUACUUGAAAAUUUUAAAAUGACAAGCGGUUGCGUUGCAAACUAUAGCCUGUCGAACUGUAAUCUGAAUUAACUGACUGAUUGUCAUAUGUAACAGGCACAACAGGUAUGUUUGCUGAUCUAGGACAUUUCAACAUCAGGGUUGUUCAGGUAACCACAUUAAUUUUAGAUAUAAGCUUUCAGAAGUAACAUUUUUUCCUGAGGCCUCCCUCAAGAGUUCGAAACAGAAGGAUCUCAUCUUACAAUAGUUUUUGUGCUUACAUUUGCAUCUCAACUUCAACGACAUCGUGUUCCAGUCGGUGGCACUGUGUUAUAUUGGGCAGGUGGUUUACCUGAGGAAAUUCCCACACAACGUUGCAAACACCUUCUACAGAUCCAUCCCAGGUACAAAGUUUUUUUUGUAAGACUGCAAUUUUGCUGAAGAAGGGAGUAGAUGCAUGCAUUUGGUAAAUAUGGCAGAAGUAACUGAAUUGCUUCCUUGUGCAACACCAAUGUUCUGGCCAGCCUUCAUCGUUGCCAUUCUUUCUGGCAUCAUAGCAAGCCAAGCUAUGCUCUCCCGUGCGUUUGCCAUCCUCUCCAAGGCUCUCUCUCUCUCUCGUUUGCAUGCCAAGGGUUCGAGUGAUCCACACCUUGCACAAGUAUGAGGGACAUGUGUACAUUCCUGAAGUGAACUUCCUGAUGGGAUUGGCGAGCAUCCUCGUGACGGUCGCCUUCCGGAUGAUCACCAGCAUCGGCUAUGCUUACGGUAAAUGGCUGGCCAAGGAUAAGGCGUUUGUGUUCCACUCAGGUUUUCACUUUUCAGUGGGAUGCUGUCGUGCUGAACAUAUUUAUUCAUCGAGCUGAUCGACCCGAUGUUGGUUAUGCGCAGGGAUCUGUGUGGUGACCACGUUGCUCUAUCAUGGAUGUUGAUUUCCAUUAAACAGUAUUCUGUAUUCACUCAGUUCGGCCUCACUUUCCUCACACAUGUUGGCUUAGCUUGGCUUGCUAUGAUGCCAACACAUGGAUGUCUGAUCAACGCCACUACUCCAUUUGUGCAGUUACUAGAGACACACAUGUUGUGCUGCAGCCGUGGUGCUCCAGUACACCAUAGGCCUCCGUUGAUCAAAUGCAUGAUGCUAAGGUUAAAUCCUAUACGCAGUUUAUUUCUACUUGCACACAUCAAGUUCAGUUAAAUAUGUCAUGGUUAGCUGAAUGAAAAUAAAAUAAUUGAGAGAAGUGGUGCCCACGUGAACAAGCACUCUUUUGGCCGAGCCGGAAAUAUUGCCUGAAAUUAUUGUUUCACUUGGUAUAAUCACUCUCCAAAAAGGUUAGGUAAAAUUAUGAAAGUAUGAUUAUGCUUUGACAACAUUACUUUAGAAUGAUACAUGUGCUGUAAUUUUACAAACCUCAAUAUGAUUGAUCCCACUUAAUAUCAAUCAUAGUUUGGACAACAUUCGGACAAUCAUAUUAGAAGAUUAAAUUGUUAUGUUUAUUGGUACGUACAAUAGUCUGACCGAUGCUCCUACUUAUAUUAAUUAAAUUCUGGAAAACAGACAAAUAAUGGAGGUAAUUAUAGGAUUAUGUGGCCAUUUACCCAUGAAACCAAUAAUUUAUUACAAGCUAAUAUUAGACAUCUUCAACAAUAGUCAAUAAUAAGAUGUGUGAAAAUCCGAUCCUGAAGAGGGGAUGGAAGAACAUGGGCUACAUUGAGUGGAUGAUAUCACUACCAUUGCCUCACAAACACAAAUGUAUCACUGAACUUAUCCAAGAAAUAUGCUGUCCCAAAUUGCAUUUAUCUCAUUCACGGAUAAAUGAUGGAAGAUUUAUUUACCUUGCCAAAUGAGAAUAUAGCAGCUAAAUAUGUACUAAAUAGUUUAUCUUAUUGACCAGAGGCUGUAGUAAAAUAGUUUAUCUCUUAAUAAAAGUAAAUGACUUUCAAUCUAUAGAAAAAGGUAAGUAGGUUUAGUAACCAGCAAUAAUCACAUUUUUGGACUCUUCUUAUGAAGUGUGAGCGUGCUGAGGAGACUUAACUACUCAAUCAUGGGUACUUCAAUCUGAGAAUUUUUUGCAUCCUUGUCGUUUCCUUUCUAUAUAUCCUCUGAAAUAACAAUCAAGAUGUACACCAUCAAAAUCAUGCUAAUCCAACUAUCUGGUGUGUAGGUCAUCAUUGUACGACUUCCAUUCUGCUCCAUACAAUAUUCAUUCUCCAUGAUUAAGUGGUAGUUUGUUACUGUUUCGAAGAGUCAAGGUAACUCAUGUGCUCGAAUCAUUCUCGCUCUCACAUAUAUGUUCAUGCUAUACUUUAUUGUUUUUUUGGGUCUAUUUUACAGGUUUGGAAUACAAUUUCAGUUGCCUUCAUUCAUGGUCAAGGCUUCGGGUGAGUUAUUGCACACCUCCUUUAUAAUAUUGUAGUGAUUUAGUUAAUUUCAAUUGCAAUGCAUUCAGCAACAUUUAUAAUGGUUAUUCUAUGAAGUAUUGAAAAAUUAGACGCGAUCUUUUCUUCAAGAUGGUGCGGGUUAGUAUUGGUGUUGCGUUUCCAUCACAUGGGAAAAAUCAUUUUAAUAUAAUAUGAACAUUAUACCGAGUAACCAGUAUUGACGCGUAAGCCCUUAGCUGGUAUUGACACAGAUCGUCUGCCAAUAAAAGGCAUUAACAUUGAACCAUAUCCCUAUUACAACCAUGUAUUACAUAGAGCCUAGCAGGUGUCGGAUGCAUUAUCUGAAAUUCUAAAUACUUGCUUAAUACUAUGUGUAUGACCGCUAUCAUCAAGAUUAUAUUUUUUUUUCCUCUUACAGAAUCCUUGUACAAUACAAAUAUGAGAAAUUUCAUUUAUAUCUAACAUGAUACUUGUACUUCUGAUUUUGCACACACUUUAUUAUACCACAGUCAACCAAGUAGUAGCAUGCGAGUAAGGCUCAGGGUGGUUCCGGACAAAGAGACCUCAUGUAUCCUCGGCCUAAAGCAAGAUUGGGUAUGUGGCAUUUUAGAAGAUCCAUAGUGGCGCUUAUCCCCGAUUUGUUGCUUUAGACUAAGGAAUGGUUGUGAGUGGUUGUACAGGUAACUUUUUCGCCAAUAAAUGCACCACACAAGUAAGCUUUGAGAUUUGGAUGACACUCAUUUGUUCAGUUAGUUGGAUGGAGCGUAGCUUUCACCUGUUGUCCUGUCACUUUUUUUAAUUGAUUAUUUCUUGAUAGUCUUCGCCUUUUUGUUUUGUUCUAUGGAAAUUCAUCACCAUACACAUGAAAAAUAUUGUAUUGACACAUGGAGUUAUAUAGGUAACUUGAGUUAUUGUACCUUUUUUCCUUUAAUUCUUUUUGUUUGGAAUCAACAUUCAGUACAAAUGCUGCUGAAGUAUACCAAAUAGCACAACAACUUCUAAAGCAUUCAUCUAUUUCCCGUGCUUUGUCGGAUGUUCCAGUGAAACAAUGACAUGUAAUUAAUGUAUAUUGUUGUUCGAGAGAUUGUGUAUAUUUGAACAUUAUUGUUUUCUUGCAAUGAAGAUUAGCAAAAAAAUACACGUCAAGUUGUCAUCUUUGGAUAAGUUGUUGGACCACCGACAACAUGAAAUUAAUAAAGAUAGUGAUGAUCACUUUAGUUUGUCCAUGUGGUCUUGUUUUUAUUUCAUCCCAACUAACGUUAUUAUUGGUUAUGAAACUUGUAUGGCCAAUGGAUGGUAGCUAACAGACGGUCAUUAGCGGCUAAUCAAUACCCCCAGCACAGCUCAAACCCUCGCGGCAGGGGUGGAGGACCGCAGGGACAUGCUACUUCCAACAGUAGAACAGAGAACACAUCAAAGAAACGCUCUUCGCAGGAGGCAGGGAUGAGCGAGGACGAGAACGUUGAGGACACGACUGAGAGCCCCAUGAAACCAAUGCAGAUGGAGCAGGACGAGGGGGAACCACCCCAGACUGAAUCUUCUGCAGAAAAGCGGCUGGACAUGUCCAAUGCAACUACAGCAGGGCCGACUGAUCUAGGGGAUGAUCACCAGUCCACGACCAAUAUGAGGGAGGCUUCUGAACUCCCAGAGCAUACUCCACCACCUCCGCGGGCGUACGUUGCACCAAGGGACCGAAAGAAGCACAGGGCAGGUUCUUCACCACAUAAAAUAACAAACACUAUGAGCGAUUUGGCGGGCUCCUGCGAGGAGCACCGCCGGGCUCAAUGAGUUUUCUAUGCUGGAGCUGUCGAGGGGCUGGUAGACCCGAGACAGUUCGUGAGCUUCGCAAUCUUGUGAGGCAAUAUACUCCAAUGGUGGCUUGCAUUGUGGAAACUCAACUUCCUGGAGGAAGAGUAGAAAGCGUGGCAAGCUCAUUAGGAUUCGAUCUUUCUUUUGCUGUUAGUAGCUCUGGUAGAAGUGGAUGUUUAGGGAUCUUUUGGAAUAAUUCAAUAAAGCUUGAGAUCUUUGGUUACUCUGAAUAUCACACUGAUGCGUUAAUCACCAUGUCAGGGGUGGAACAAUGGAGAUUGACGGUGGUUUAUGGGGAAGCAAGGGUGGAGGAAAGAGGUAUAAUCUGGGACCUCUUUCGGUCAUUAGCUUCGGCGAAUGAUCGUCCUUGGUUGUGUUUGGGGGACUUCAACGAAGUCUUGCGUCUGGACGAGUACGAGGGAUCAAGCCACCGCAGCAUGACACAGGUCAAUGGGUUUCGUGACGUCGUUGAUGUUUGCGGAUUCUCUGAUCUGGGAUUCACUGGACCGAGAUGGACUUUCAAGAGAAGGGUCGCAGGAGGAACCUAUACUCGCGUCCGAUUAGACAGAGCCUUAGCUACUGCGGAGUGGUUGUCUAUCUUCCCAAAUGCAAGAUUAGCACACAAAGUGGCUGCCACCUCAGAUCAUAGCCGCAUCUUGCUUGAAACCGAAUGCCAACUGGGCAGGCUCAUACAACAAACUUUUAAAUAUGAGAUGAUGUGGGAAUCCCAUGAUGGUUUCCAAGAGGAGGUGCAACAACAUUGGCAGGCCCUGGAGUGGCUACAGUAGCAGAACCGAAGGGGAAAAUUGAUGCUCUGGCAAAAGGCCUCGGGCGCUGGGAUAAAAAUACUUUUGGCAAUGUGAGUAAGGAGAUCAAACGACUGAACGGAGAUCUGGCAAACCUACAGGCAGACCCAAGGUGUACCCAACCUACUAGGGUUGAAACAAAGAUCAGAGAUAGAUUGUCCGAGCUCUAUUACAGAGAGGAGGUGAUGUGGCGUCAACGGUCCCGGGUAACAUGGCUCAAAGAGGACGGAAAUACAAGGUUUUUUCAUCUGCGGGCAAGCAAUUGUAGACGCAAAAACAAAAUUCAGUCUCUGGUACGGGAGGACGGCACUACAGUUGAUGAUGCCAUUGAGCUAGAACACAUGGUCACCGAUUUCUAUAAACAUCUAUACACAUUCGAAGGUACAUCAAAUAUGGAGGAAGUACUUAACAUGGUUCCACGUAAAGUCACCACUGAGAUGAAUAAUCUUCUGACAUCGGAAUUUACUCAAGAAGAGGUGAAGGCAGCUUUAUUUCAAAUGGCACCCACAAAAGCGCCAUGGUCUGAUGGGUUUCCCGCCCAUUUCUUUCAACGCAACUGGGAAGUAUGUGGCACCGAAAUCACUACAGUCACCUUAAAAAUCCUGAAGGGAGAAGACGAAGUUUCUAUCUUGAACGACACUAUUCUGGUGCUGAUACCAAAGGUAACAAGCCACACACUCCUCACACAAUUCCGUCCGAGAAGUCUUUGUAAUGUUCUUUAUAAAAUAGCAUCCAAGGUCAUAGCAAACAGAUUGAAACCCAUCCUCCCUGAGAUCAUAUCAGAAGAACAAUCGGCCUUUGUUGGAGGAAGAAUUAUUACAGACAACAUAAUAUCUGCCUAUGAAUGUGUGCACUUUAUGAAACGAAGCAAGUCGAAGAGGAAUGGAUUCUGUGCCUGGAAACUAGACAUGAUGAAAGCAUAUGACCGUUUGGAAUGGACAUAUCUGAGCGCUAUGAUGACCAGACUGGGUUUUGCACCAGCCUGGGUUGAUCUUAUCAUGGGGAUGGUGAGCUAAGUUACUUUUUCGGUCUUAUUUAACGGGAAGAAACUGGAUCAAUUCACUCCUACGAGAGGGAUUCGACAGGGAGAUCCACUAUCACCCUAUCUGUUCUUGUUGGCAGCAGAGAGCCUCUCGUGCCUCCUCAAAAACCACAAUGAGUCAUCACCUAUUCACGAAAUUAAAGUGGCACCAACGGCUCCGUUGGUAAGUCACUUACUGUUUGCUGAUGACAGACUGCUGUUUUUCAAGUCGAGUUGUCAGGGAGCUACUAUGGUAUCUUCCUUGUUGGAAACCUACUGCAAUGCUUCGGGACAGAGAAUUAACCAAGCUAAGUCCUCUGUUUUCUUGAGUAAAAGCUGUGCAAAUGAGGAGAAGGAGAGUAUCAAGAACAUUAUCAAUGUGCACAAUGAAUGUCUAAAUGACAAAUAUUUGGGCAUGCCCACAGAUGUGGGUAGCAGCAAAAAUGGGGCCUUUAAAUAUCUGAAAGAUAGGGUUUGGGAUAAAGUUAAAGGAUGGAUGGAAAAGAUUUUAUCCCCAGGAGGGAAAGAAGUUCUUAUAAAGUCCAUUGCGCAAGAAGUUCCGGUCUUCUCUAUGGCGUGCUUUAAACUUCCCCGCGGUUUGUGCCUCCACAUCAACUCCCUGAUUAGGAAGUUCUGGUGGGGUAGUAAGAACGAUGAAAGGAAUACUAGUUGGGUAUCGUGGGAGGUGAUGACACGGCCUAAAUAUGAAGGUGGAUUGGGUUUCAAAGAUAUUGAACUAUUUAAUCUCGCCUUACUUGCUAGACAAGCUUGGCGCCUGCUCAAGACUCCGGAAUCAUUAAGUGGCAGGAUCCUAAAGGCACGUUACUACCCCUUCACUUGCUUCCUGGAUUCUGAGCUUGGAAAUAACCCAUCACAAAUAUGGCAUGCAAUCAUCGAGGGGAAAGAUAGUCUCAAGUUAGGAGUGAUCAAACGGAUCGGCGAUGGCUCAACCACAGAGAUAUGGAACCAAAACUGGCUCCCUAAAGAAGCUUCCAUGCGACCUAUUGCAUGUCUUACGGCCCAACGCCCUACCAUGGUUGCCGAGCUCAUCGAUCAUACAUCAGCCAGAUGGAGGCGGGAGUUGAUCACCUCAACUUUUUUAUCGAUAGAUGCUGACGUGAUUCUCAACAUUCCUCUAAGCACCAGACACUAUGAAGAUUUCUGGUCAUGGUCACAGGACAAGAAAGGCUUGUUUACCGUCAAGUCUUGUUAUCGCAUGCUCAUUACUACCAAGCUUCGACGGGAGGCCUCGCUUGAAGGCAAUGGCGGCCCGGCGGACGUCACCAGAGAGAGGAGAUGUUGGGAUACGAUGUGGCGGAUCCAAGUCCCUUCGAAAAUCAAGAUCUUCCUGUUGAGAUUGGCCCAGAGCUCGCUACCGACAGCAGACGUUCGACACCAUCGCAAUAUGGCACCCUCCCGGGCAUGUGCGAUAUGCGGGACAGAGGACUCUUGGAUCCACUCCCUGCUUACAUGCACUAUGGCUCGCUGCGUCUGGGUACUACAUGAUCCAGAGCUAGUCGAGCACAUGUUGGCGACUGCGGAACCAGACGCGAAGUCUUGGCUAUUCACCAUGCUAUCAUCAGUUUCUGCGACCGAGAUGACCAAGAUCACAGUAACACUAUGGGCGAUCUGGUUUGCCCGACGCAAACUGAUCCAUGAAGGAGAGCAUCAAAGUCCAGGGGCUACACUAGCCUUCGCCAACCGAUUUAUAGCAGAGUUGGAACUGAACAAGCCAACAUCGAGAUCAAACCCUAGGCCAGUUCACUCCAAUACUCGGCGAUGGAUCAAGCCCCCUGCGGGUUGGACAAAGAUCAAUGUCGACGGUGCAGUUUGCAACGCCCCCCCCCCCACUACGGAGCGAUCAAUGCAGUCUGCAGGGACGAACAAGGAGCUUAGCUGGGUUCAUCAGCCGUCGUCUUCCAUGGGUUAACUGAUCCUCAAAUUUUGGAAACCUUGGCUUUCCGUGAAGCCCAAUCUUUGGGACGAGACUUAUUAUUGCAAAGGUUGCAGUGGCUUCUGAUUGUCUGAAUGUUGUUGAAGGAAUCAACUCUGGAUCUGAAGGAAUAACCGGCCCUAUUAUCAAGGAAAUAUUUGAUGGUAGGAGUGACUUUCAACAUAUAUCGUUUACCCAUGAAGAAAGAUUAUCCAACAUGAAAGCUCACCACUUAGCUAGAUAUGCUCUGCAUUUAGGGGAGGGAUGCCAUGUGUGGCUACUCGAACCCUUUGAUACUAAUAUUAUCCCUGUAAUCCGCAAUAGUGAUCAAUAAAGCAGUUUUUCACCCCUAAAAAAAAAACUGAGUCUAUUAGCUUUUGUUGCCCUUAGCAGCAUGGGUGGGUGAAAUUACAAAUUUGUUAUGCAAUUCAUUGGUCUGAGAUAUUUCAUAAGUAGUGGCCAACUACCACACCUGUUUGAUGCUAUGAUUGGUUAACAUGAGUGAGAAUGAAAACAAAUGAAUAAAUAAGUCCCUAAAAUAGAACAAAAACCCUCGGACUGCCGGACUACAGUGUACUCGCUUGGGAUGAGAAUGUAAGUUGGGCAUGGCUGUGAGGUUGUACGGAAUAUUGUGGUUUCAUUCUUUUAUGAAAUGAAACGAGAGAGUCGGUCCCUAAUUAUGUAAAUAAAAAAGUCGGAGAUUGGUUUAAUAAGCGAAAAAAUAUGUUGUACAUGUAACGACCAUAACUUUUAGAUUCAGUGUCAAACGAAAUUUAUAAACACAUGUUUUUAACGGCAUACUGUACAUGUUUAACUAGUUAAAUAUUUCCAUCCGGAUGGAGUAUUAGAUUAGAUUGAUUAGUAACAAAGGAUUGGAGCUGUUCAUGGUGGUCAACCAGGGAUUGAUUAAGACGGUCAAAAGGUGCUGCACACAAGCAGUACCUCUCCCGCAAGUCAACCGGUCACUUCAUCCGUUGCUUCUGGAUCACGCCAUGGAGUACCCAUUAACCCAUUCGCAUAAUUAUUCGAUGUAGUGGAAUCAAAGACAAAUUCAUGGACAUUCACAGCAAAAAGAAGACCAAUCCAUGAAGCCAUAUGUAUGGUCCUUGAAGUCGAGGAGGAACUCGUGAGUUGUGAGAUGCUUUCUGUAUUUGGAUGGUUAGGAGGCACUGCCAUCUUUAGCUCAUGAGUGUUUAAAUUAUAAAUUUGGGACUGAUGCUUGCAAUUUUUUAAAUUUACUUCAGUCCUUCUAAAAAUGUGGGUUCUGUAAGAAUUAAAAGGAGGCGUUUCUGUCAACUAAGAAGGCAUUUGUGAUCAAUUUUUAGAUGAUGUGUCGGUUUAUUUCUUUCGAUGAUGCUCAUAUAGUAGAGCAUGCGUAAUUCGUAAAGAUGAAUGUAUGUGCGUAUGUAAAAACGUAUGGAUCAAUGUUAAAAAGUGCACUUCCUGCGCUACGUGUUGCGAUCUGCGGACCGAUGGGGCCUGCGAGGCUGCGAUGCUAGUUGUGAGCUACAUGUACGGACGUGUGCGUGUUGUGUUGGCGAAGACAAAUACUACCAGUAGGAUGCAACGGCAGAUACUCCCUCCGUUUCUAAAUAUAAGUUUUUUUAAAAGUUACACUAACGGAUUACAUACGGAUGUAUAUAGACAUAUUUUAAAACCUAUAUUCACUCAUUUUGCUUUGUACGUAGUCUUUAGUAAAAUCUUGAAAAAGACUUGUAUUUAGAGACAGAGGGAGUAUAUAUGUAUCACAUCACAUGCAUGGCUGAUGGCUCGUUGACCUAACCGCGAUCAACGGCGGGAUACAUGCAUGCUUUCACUGUGGCUUUCGAUGUGUCACACGUACUAGUACGAAACAUGCAGGUGAACGCAAAGCGUCUCCGGAGAAUGAUGGCCUCCACAGGGGAGAAUGAUGGCCUUUCCCCUAUAAAUCCCCACGUUCACAUGCGCCAAACACCUCACCACCACCACAGGACGACCCAUCUCAGCAGUGUGCACGAUCUACCAAGAAGGAAGAUCCAUGGCGCGGCAGCUCGUUGCCGCGAUGGCCGCUCUGGUGGCCGCGUGCGCCCUGGCGGCCGCCGCCGGCGUCGAGGCCCAGCCGCCGAGGAAGCUGCCGCCCAACUACCACAUGAUCACCCCGGGGAAGUUCGGGCAGAGGAGCCAGCAGCUGUCGUGCAAGGACACCAACGGCAAGAAGGCAGGGUGCAUGGGCAAGUGCGACAAGCGCUGCCCCAACCAGUGCAUCGUCCUCUGCCCCAGCUGCAAGACAUACUGCAGUAAGUUUAUACAUAUCCAUGUGAUGUACUGUACGUACUUCCUUUUCAGGUUAGAGUGAGUGGGCCUCUUUGAUUCAAAGGAUUUUUCAUGGGAAUUUGGGGGGUAUUGAAAUCUUUUAGCAUUUUUCUACAUGGUUAUUAGUUCGAUUCGUAGGAAUGAAUUUUGUAGAAGAAUGAUCUGGAAAAGGCUCGAACUUUCGUUUUUUUACUAUGAACGUUUUUAUGGCAAUGUACUGACGCAAGGGUGGCAAGUUUAGCUGACACACAAAUCUUUGCUCAGUGUAUUUUAUGCUUGAACUUAUCGUGUGUGCGAAUUAAACUUGUCACACUAAAGUUAUCAUAUAAGACGUUCAAUUUGUCAUGGUCAAAUCCCAAACAUUUGUUUUCGUAGAAAAAUUUAUGUGCCCCAGCCACAAGACAUACGUAUGUACUUUCCUUUUGAAACGGAGGUAAGAAAUUUGCCUCAUUUAUUAAAUAAGAAACGAGCAUAACGCGAGGGUGUUCUGACAAAAGAGCGUUCCUCCGCACAUCCUGCUUAAUAUAAGAGCAUCUCCAACGGCAGCGCAAAAAAUCCGCGUCCAAUAAUUUUUUUAGCGCGCCACUGUAGCAGUUUUGAAGCGCGGGGACGGAGCAUCUCCAACAGACGCGCGCUAGUGCGGCGCCCAAUCCAUUCCGAUCCAGCGGUCCCAUCUGCAGCAGCUCAGAGUUUGCUGCGCGCGCAAGCCGGCGCACCAAAUAUGCUGCGCGCGAUAGCGUUUUUGAGCAUGUGUCCAAAAGUUUUUAGCGCGCGCAGUGUUUUGCAGCUUCUGCUGGAGCAGUCCGGCGCCCAAAAAACGGAUCUUUUAGCGGGCGGAGCAGUUUUUGGGCGCCUGUUGGCGAUGCUCUAAUAGUCGAAGAGGCCAACCUUUGGAUCAAAGCAGGGGCUAAGAAGUUAGGGUUUUUCUUAUUGCAAGAAUGAUUUUCAGGCCGUAACUUGGGUGUGUUGUAACAUACGUAUAUACUCAUGCACUACUUUCUUUGUAGUAAAUAUGUACACUUUUAGUCCCAUUUGAAUUGGGUGUGAUUUUGCAUGCGUAUUUUGGCUUAAGUUUGAACUUUGGAGGACAUCAUGCCUUUUCUGUACGUUUGUGGUGCCAUUGACUUCACUCUUGAUGCGUCCCUUGGUUCCAGUGUGCGACUUCUACGCGGGCGUGUCUUGCGGUGACCCGCGUUUCACCGGCGGCGAUGGCAACAACUUCUACUUCCACGGAAAGAAGGAUCAGGACUUCUGCAUCGUCUCCGACGCCGACCUCCACAUCAACGCCCACUUCAUCGGCAAGCGCAACCCCUCCAUGAGCCGCGACUUCACCUGGAUCCAAGCCCUCGGCAUCCGCUUCGCCCACCACCGUCUCUUCAUUGGAGCCCAGAAGGCCACCAGCUGGAACGGCGACGUCGACCACCUCGAGAUGUCCUUCGACGACACGGCCCUCGAGAUCCCUAUCGAGACCGGCGCGCUGUGGAACUCCGCCACGGUGCCAGGGCUGUCCGUCGCGAGGACGGCGACCACCAACGGGGUGAGGGUGCACCUGAGGGGCGUGUUCGACAUCAUGGCCAACGUGGUGCCCAUCACCGAGGAGGACUCACGCAUCCACAACUACGGCGUCGCAGGGUCAGGCGAUAGCCUGGCGCACCUGGACAUCGGGUUCAAGUUCCACGAC